rnacentral:lncRNA from 1 species
AUUUUUUUUUUUUUUUGUCGACUAAAAGAAUGAUGUUAUCUUUUUUUUUACUUGUGAAUUUUGUUCUUCUUUUUCUUUUGCCUUUUAUUACAAUAACCACCCGAAGAAUAAAUGAAUCCUAACAAUGAAACUUUUAUUUUAUAUUAUUUGACAAUUUCGACUGUUGGGGACCAAAUCUAAGCCGAGCGCAUGCGUAACUAUAAACUAUUGACGUUGAACAAAUAAAUAGUGUUAAACUAUAUGUUUAAAAUUGUUGAUCUAUCAUAGUUUAUCGAGCAUAUGGAACUACUAUAUAUAUGUUAGUCAUGGUAGUUUAAUAUAGACAUCCUAUACAUAAAAGAACUUAGAAUCCUAGUCAAGUUGUUGGUACACUUCGUUGCAGUGGCGAGUCCAAAAACAAUUUUCAUUGGGGCAGGAUUUACUUACACCCACACCACAGCAUGUACAUGCUUGGUAUAAAAGAAUGGUUUUUAAAGAUCCACUAGGAAAAAAAGACUGAUUCUAGCCAAUUAUUCCGAUUGUCUCUCACAAUUACUUAUAUAGACAAACAAAUUCUGAUGUGGAACUCGCACCCACACCAAAACGUGUACAUCCGCUCUUGCUUGGUUGCAUGUAAUAAUAUAAAUUUUAUCAAUACAAUUUCAAUGUAUAGUUAUGUUUUGCUAAUGAAUCCAAUAUAAUUUUUAAGGACUAUAUCUAUCGCCAUAAUGAAAUCUGUUAGAUUUGAAAUAGAUAAAUAGUAGUUUACGGGUCAGAGAAAGAAAGGCUGUUUGUGUAGUUUUACACCAUGCCAAAUUGAAAAUUUAACACUGGUCCAAUAGAAAGAAAAAAAAAACUAACCACGUUGUAACUUCCAUAAAAUCUCAUAAGUUUCGUGUUCCUUAAGGUAUAAAGUAGGAGUUAGAAUCGCUACGAAUUAUUUUCUCGUUUUUGAGUCAAAAUAUAUAAUUCCGAUUCUUUUUUUCUCGUUAUCUUCUCAGUUCAUUUCGACGGUCGUAUAAAUCGUUUACUCGGUAAUUUAUUGGUGGACGGUGGGCUCUUCCAUUUCCUUAUUUUCUUAAAACAUUUUUAUUAUAUUAAAAUAUACCAUGCGAUCCACGUUAGUAAUUUUAUUAUAUAAAAAAUUAGGUCGCGCUAUUUGAAAGCGAAAAUGAUAGCAUGACCAUCUGAGGGAUCCAUCACCGUGCCUACAACUAGAUGAUUUCAUAACACAAAUGUAUGUCGCCAUGCUAAUUUACCAAUUAAUUCCAUAAGCUUCAUUUUUGUCUCGGGACUCAUUUCUUCGUAUUAAAAACUUAUCUAAUUAACUUCACGAAUCAUGUAUAACUUCUUGUUCUCCAAUCCAAUUAUUGUUGUAAACAACCAUCAAUAGAACUCGUAGCUCAACAUCGCUAAACGCUAACAAAACCAACAAAAAGUUUCGAUGUAUAUAUGUUCAAUUAAAAUAACAUAUUUUUAUCCAUUUUAAUUCUAUAACUAGUGUUUUCUAAAAAAAAAAAUAUAUAUAUAUAUAUAUAUAUAUAUAUUCCAUUAAAUUUUUGAACGACAUUUAACUUGGAACAAAUUUUGUUUUAAAACCCUUUAACAAAAAAAAACCCCAAAUUUAUUUUAUAAAACGACGUUAAGAUUGUAAUCGAUAUGAAAAAAAUAUAUUAUAAUACGAAAAAUAUGUAAUUGGUUUGUGCUGAUAUUGUUGUGUUACUAUUUAGAUUCAAAUGUGAGAUAAUAAUACAUGUUGGUGAAAUGAAAAAAAGACUGUGUAAGCGUUUCUUUAUUUCUUUCGUCAGAUUGUAGAUCCAAUCUUUUGACUUUGAGUAUUACAAGAAGAUAUUGGAAAUUGUAGAUAAGAUGCAUGGUGUUCCUAAUUGUGUUCAAUCAAUGGCUCCUUCGAUCAUUAAAUGUCCACUGCAUAUGUACAUAUACAUAUUUUAUGGUUUGAAUUAAUAUUUGGAACAAAAAUAAAUUAGAUAGGAAAAAACUUUUUCAGUGGCACUGAGAAUGGCAAGAAGGCAUAAAUCUAUUCUUUGAUAUUGAUUAGUAACAGUAUAACAGAGCCAAUAAUUGAUUUUAGUCACAGAUCCGAUACGCCUGUGAUGAUUUUAUUUAUUUAUUUAUUAAAUAACAUUAAUUUCCCUUUAUUCAUCAACCACUCGUCAUUUCAUUACAAUUUCAAUAAUCCAAUUAACAAAUCUAGUGUUGAAUAAGCUUGUUUUGUUUUCGUCACCACUUAGACAGCUUGAUUUAGACUUAAUCAGCUAAUUGGAUAAUUAAUCCUAUUGCAUUAUAAUUCUUUUUUACUUUUCUGACGACCCUACAUGGACCUUUUUAAGACCAAUGAAGCAAGGUCGUGACACUGGUUAGUGGUUAAUUAUGAUGUAAAUUAGUUUAGCUAUGUGUGUGGGUUACAAAGGAAAUCUGAAUAAGGGACAUUUUUUUCCUUUUUUUUUACGGUUUAGUUUAGACACUACGUUUGUCAAAAAAAAUUUAUUUUUUUUCUCUGAAAGAUCUGUCAAUACUCAAUUAUUGAGGCAUUCUAAUUCAAUGAACACGGAAAGUUGAACCAAUUAACUGCCAACUUAUUUCUUAUCUUAAAAUAUUAUGUAGUCACUAAUGGCACCAUUAUACGUACUACAUUAAAAGGAUAUAUUUGUUUUUCCUAAAUUGCAAACUUUUAAUAUGUUCAAUUUUAUUUUUUGUCGGCUUAAUAUGAUCAAAUUUUCAGCAUGUACCAUUAAUUUUUAUUUAUAAAUCCUGAUAUCUACUUAAAUUAUCUAAGUGUUUUAAAAUUUAAAUAAAACAUAUACUAACAAGUCACAAUCUACUACAUAUCUUCAUAAAAUUCCAAAUAUAUAUUUUUCUCAUUUCAUUUACCCCUUUUUCUUAAAUUAUUUACUGUCAGUUUCGUUUGUAUUUAUUUCUCGUUUAGUUAUUUUUUUUUCUUAUUUAACUUAAAUUAUAGAUUUACCAUUUGAAAUAGAUAUGAUAUUUGAACUUUAUAAUUGCUUUGUCUUACUAUAUAAUACAGUUCCGUAAUCAUGAGUUAAAACUGUAUUUUAUAAUAUAAAUAUAUUCUACGUAUAGUUCGUAAAGUCACUAGUAUAAUUUUGGUAGAUAAUCCAAAAUGUAUCUAUGUAAAUCUGGGAGUGAUCAAGUGUAAAGUGUAUUUUCCACAGAAUUGAGCAAUAAUUAAUAUUUUAAUUAGGCGUUGAGUCAAACACAUUAUCAUAUCAGGAUGGGAUAAAUCCAUAAAGUCAGAACGGAUAUAUAAAUCGAAAGUAAUAAUAUCUGUAUGAAAAUUAAAACUCGCCGAAAAAAUAAUAAUUAAAACUCACACGUACUAAUGUCUAUUGCCUAAUGGUUAUAACUUCAGAUCUUACUCUGCUAAAAUUUCUUUUAUUAAACAUGUUUUCUCCUUUAUUUUUGUUUUUGUCAGUAACUCUCUGAGUCCAACUCCGAUUUAUGUGUUUUUGGAAAGUGUUAUUUAUAGAAUAACCAUAUAGAAGAAAACAUUUACCAAAGAAGACGAAAAUAUAAAAAUAAAGAUGACAUAGAUAUCAAUUUUUUUCUGUUACCAAACAAUGAAUUACGAUGGUCUUAUUACGUUUAAUUAGAUGUAACACUUCCAAACAUGGCCUUCAAAACAGCCACGAGCUUCUCCUUAGGGGGCAAGACUUCCUUAAUAAAGUUAUUUCCCACGAAAUCUUCCGACCAACGUUGAAGUUUUGGAAACUCCUCCGCGGUCAUGAUCGUGACGCCUGAAGCUUCUUGGAAAAUCCCUAACCAAUAUCCUAUGAAAUCAGCUGCUAUAUCGACAAAUCCAAUUGUCUCUCCUCCGAAAAAAAGUUUAUCUCCAAGCUCCUUUUCUAAACAUUUCAAACCCUCAUAAGCCUCUUUCACUUCUUUUUCUCUUUCACUCUCCGGUCCCCAACAAGCUUUCUUCACUGCUAACAUUACCUGAAACCCAGAGACCAAUACAAUGCUCUUUAAGACAUGUAGCUUGAUUCUUGAUAUUACGUGAAUACUUUGAUAUCCGAUUCAAGUAUCACUAUAUAAAUCUUAAAACAAAUAUAUCUUAAGAAUAAGAUCAAAAUAAAUUUACCUUUUCAUCCACAUACUUAGCCCAAAACCGGGCCAUGGCACGUUCAUAAGGAUCUUGAGGCAAGAUCGUGUGAGUUGUCUUCCACGUAUCUUCGAUGUAUUCGACAAUCACCAAUGAUUCGGCUAUCGAUCUACCAUUGUGGAUGAGGACAGGGACCUUCUUGUGUAUAGGGUUGUACUUGAGAAGCAUAGGGCUCCUGUUUCCAUAAACAUCUUCUUCAAUGUACUCAUAAGGUAUGCCCUUAAGUUUUAGGACCAUCUCUACUCUUUUGCUAAAAGGACUUCCCCAUAAGCCCAGAAGCUUUACGUGCUCUUCUUGGUUCAUCUAUAUAUCCUGUUUAAAGAAAAUAUACCGGUUUGGCUUUCCCUUUGUGUGUGUGUGUUUUAUUGAGCAAUGAUGGUUAGCAGUUAUUUAUAACCACUUUGGAUUUGGUUAAAUGGAUGUAUGAAGAAUAGUUGGUCACGAGAAUAAUCAGAUUAAUGUUUCGUAAAAUUUGAAAUUAACAAAUAGGAUGAAUAUUAGGUGGUCAACUUUUUGACUUUAAAUGAGGGUAGUGGUUGAAGGCCUGUUCUUUUCUCAAUCGCUCAAUUAGCGACAGCGACCAGAAAAAUAGAGGUUUAAAUGCUUUAUAAUUAAAAGAAUAGGUUCAUAAUACAGCUGACAGAGAAAACCAGCGACAACUUUAGAUUUAUAAACGAUGGAGAUGAAGUCGCUGAAAAAAUCAGCGUUCACCGGCGACAUCUCUUUUUCGAAUUUAAUGUCGUUGCCUUUUUUUUAUCUGUAGCUGCUUUAACUUUAGCGACACUAAUUAGAUAAAUCCAGUGCUUUUUUCAGUCGCUAACUUGAGUCGCGACGAUUGGGAAAAGAACAGGCCCUGAGUAGCGUGCUGUGUUUUUAUUACUACAUCAAAAUUGUUUAAAAUUCCACAUAAAUUAGGGUGGUAAGAUACGGUUUUUUUUUACUCCCUGUUUUUUUUUUGCAUAAUCGUUUCGUAAUUGAAGAAAUUUUUUUUGAGUAUUAUAUUAUACUCCGUAUUAAGGGAAAAUUUAAUGAUACCGACAGCUUUUGACGGAUUCAAUACUUUCAUGCUAAGUUUUGUUUUCGAAUCUUUUAUAUUUGUGAUUAGUUUUUUUUGUGAGGGGCUACGUAAGCAGUUACGUUCGACGAAAAAAAAAAAAAAAAAAACAGCAAUUACGUUCACAAGUACUGUGGAAGAAACGGGUCUCUCUAUCCGGAAUUUUCAAAAUAGGCCUAUCUUCGCUAGGCCCAAUAGUAAUGAAUAUUGAAUACAUCUUUGACUUUUUUUGGAAAUCCCUGGGAAAGGCUCAAAACUAAACUAGGAUAAGGAAUUUGAUUGGGCUGAUUUGAAACCCAAUUGAACCGAAACCUAUUGGGCCCCUUUUUUAGUGAGGUAACAUUUUUUUUUUUUUUUUUUUUAUGUUUUCCAAGUUAUAUAAGCUUUGAUUUUAUGUUAUCAAAACAUAUACUGUAGUUCACUUAAUUCGAUAAAAUUGAUUCAUUUGAUGAAUAUAAAUGUUAAAUUCGAAUGCUGUAAAAAAAAAAAAAAACUAAUAUUUUAAUGUAAGAUAUAAUGUCAAAUUUCUUAACUUGUAGGUUCUAUAAAUUGGCUUCUUGUUGAACAAAGAAAUACAAAAUGUAAUCUUCCAAACUAUUUUUCUGCUCUGUCCACAUUAUUUAGAUGACAUUGUGGGUUUGCUUUAACUAAAAUCAUCAGUUAUAUCGAUCCGACCCUGGGUUCGAGCUGAAUUUGUUUUAAGAAAAGUUUUAUUGUAUAUCACCUGGCUUCUUCUAUAUAGUAUGACUAGCACUAAAAUUUAAUGUGACUUUUAUUAUUUUGUAAGAUAAAUUUAAAACUUGGAAAAUAAACAGAGAAUGAGAAUGAAGCUCAAAUUAUAUAACUAAAUACGAAGAAGACAAAAAAUAAAAUAGAAUCAUUUUAUAUCACAAAAACCAAAAUACAAAGAAAAUAUUUACAAAGAUUAACGAAAAGUCAAAAUUAAACUAACACUUUAGGGGUCUCAGUCUCCUUUUCAUCAUAAUUGGGUUUGUGUUUCCUCGUAGCCCUUAUAUAGCAAAACACUACCACAAGAAACGUUGUAGCUAAGCCUCCGAGAAUAACUCCACCUCCGGCAACCGAUCUUUCCACCGUGGAAUGGUGGUGGCCUCGCCGUACAGUCUCUUCCAAAUGUGAAACCUCCGGUGCUUCUGCCUCCUCUCCUGGCCAUUCGUGCCUGCCGAGUUUCCUUGUUGCCGGAGGCUCAGCUUCCGAUGAGGCUGCCGCCAUGGAGAAGACGUACGUUAGCAAGAAGCAUAGAACUAUAUGUUUCGCAUCCAUUUUUUUUUUUUUUUGAGAUGAUUGUGUUAAUGGAGUUAUUUAUAGGUCAAUAUUUUUCUCUUAGGAUAUAUAUUUUUUUUCCUCUUGCAACAAUUUUCUUUUUGUUUUUAUCGGAAGACUAGAGAGAUCGUGUGGUGUCAUAUGGAAAUUUCCGAGUGUUACGUUUCCGGGAAAAUCGGGUAGAUAUAAGUUUAGAAUUUAGACCGGAAUAUGAUUUUAGUAAAGUUUUUUUGAUAAAGAAAUUAAUUUCCGCUGUGUUCUUCAAUGGAGCUGUCGGGUUGGCCGGAGGAAUCAUACGGGUGUACACGUGAACUAGAAUUAAAAAUAUUAUUAAAUUUAACAAUUCGUUCCAAAAAGUCUACACAUUGUAUUGAUAUGUGUAUUAUACACGUACUCAAUCAUCAAAGGAAUCCAGAAAUUUUGCUAAAGCAAUUUUAGAACAUCAUCUUUUUAUUAUUUCUCAAAUUAGUAUUUAGGAAUAUUUUAAACUUAUUCAUAACUUAUGUUUUCUAUUUUAGAAUUUAAAGAUACAAACCCUUUGAAAAUUUAAAAUUUACACUAUGAAUUAUAUAAACUAACAUAGAAAUCGGAUUAAUAUUAUUAGAUAGUUCUUAUAGAAGAAUACAAUCAACAUGAUUUUUAAAAUGACUUGAAUGUACAACCAAUUGAACCAAUAGAUCUAUCUAUAUCUCAGUUUCCAAAUGGCGACACAUGUGUUAUCGCUUUUCGCCUAAAACUAUUUUGCUAAAUUAAACACUUAUAUUUUAGAAGCUGAAACACAGAAAUUUAGGGAUUUUUGAGGAGUCUAAAUGACUAAAUUGAAACUGAUGAUUUUUUAAGUUGGAAACCAGAGUAGAUCCCUAGCUACUAUUAGAUUAAACAUAGUAAAGUUUCUUAUAUAAGUGAAUCAAAGACAGCGAGAUCUAUGAUGUGUUUAUAUGUAAAGUUUGUCUGAAAUGUGUUUUGAUUAAAGUAGGAAGUGAAGCUACUUUGUCUCGAGGCAAGGACCAAGGUGGUCGGGAAGUAGCUUCCUCUUUGUUUUGUGUUUUAUUAUAGUUUUCGAGAUUAUGGUGUUAAAAAAGAGAUAGAAAAUUGGUAUAUAUGUGUUUGAUCAAAAAAGAAAAAUGGUAUAUAUGUGUGUGUAUGGAUCGGAUGUAAAAAUAUAUGUAGUUGGGAAAUAUUCGAUUUAUAGUUAGAACUGAUAAGUUUAAAUUCAUCAAUAAUUGAGAUUUAGAAACUUCGCUAAUUACCCAUGCCAAUUCUGUCAAGUCAUGGGUUAAUUAGACAAUUUAAGUUUUGAAUAAAGAGAAAAUGUUUGCUUAUAUAAUGGUACUUUUAGUUGUUUAUGUGAAGAAUAUGUCCACAUAUUAUAUUUUUCAUGUAUGUGUAUGGUUUGCGUUAAUGGAUACUACACCUCGUUUGUCUAGGUUUAAACUCCCCUAUAUGAAAAGUGGAGUCAAAUUUCUACAAGACCGAGUCCUUUUAGAGAGUAUAGGCAACAUAUAGUCUUUGCCAAAAGACAUAUUUGAGCACAAAUUCGGAUUAGACACGUGUGGUAGGUUAAUUUGGUUUGAUUUAAAAGUAUCGCACAAAUGUAAAGCUCUCGCCUUUUGAAGAGCCGAUGAGAGCAAAACAAGCAAAUCAUAACCUGUAUUUUCCUUUAUUUCGACAAAGACAAACCUCUUUCCUCUUGUCGUUAUAGAGAAUUAAAGAAAUAGAUCAUUAGUUACAGAAUUUAUUCUCAUAACCCUUUCUCAUGAUUAGUCUACUAUUUUUCUUUGAUGCCGACAGGUAACUUUAUUUUAUUUACACAAAAAAAAAAAACUCACGACUAGACAGAGUUUAUAGAUAAAUCUGAAAAAUCUUAACAAAAAUAUAUAUCCAAACAUUAGUUUACAUAUAAAAGUAAAACAAAAUUUCAAUAGUAACUCUAAAAAUAGUCUUCUUGUGAAUACUUUUAUCCAUUUCCUCUUUUUCUAACCAAUCAAAAUUUUGUUACCUAACAAAAAAAAUAACGGAAAUUUUCUAUUGGGUUUCAAGUAAAUAAGAGAAGCUGAAUAAAUUUUACAAAAGGAAAACAAAUGUUUUUCCCUAUAUAUGUACUAACGAACUAAAUAAAUCAAUAAUUGCGAGGAGAAUAAAUAAUGAUCCGAGGGAAGAUCUCAUUGGCAUACAAGGCACAAUAAGAAUAAGCAAGGAAAGGCAGUCAAAAGAAGUCGAAUAUUAUUUGUCUGUUAGAAAGCAUAAUCCUAAGUUCCCAUCAUUGGCUCAUAGAGAACAUAUAAUCUUUCUCCAAUGAUUUGAUGUCUCACACUCACUAGUCACUACUUUUACUUUUCACAUUUUAUAUGCCAUUUGCUUGCGCAAAAAUACACUGCGAAUGAAGUGGUUGUAAUUUGUGGUUUCAUUAGUUUGAUCGAUCGACAUAAAACGAUUUGUAACAAUAGAUCCAAAACAGUUGCAAGUCGAUCGAUAACUAGUAUGGGUUCAAGUCCAUGAAAUUCAAUCACAGCUUUGCGGAAUUCAAUUGCUUAGAUUUCUUGAAGAGUUUUGUUAGGAAUUUCAUGUCUCAACAAGAAGAAACUUAAAAUAACACAUAACGAAUGUUAGCUAACAUAAACAUAUUCACGUUGUAAAUGCAUUACGUUUUAAUCUUAGAAAUUCAUGAAUGUCUAUAUUCUUAAAGAAUACCAUAAAUUUAUCAGUACAGAUUCGACAUCCCAUCAAUCAUUCGCAUAGUUAUAGCUCUAAAGAUCUAUCCAGUACAAUCAUAUCAAACAAAGAAGGCUAAGACAUACGAAUGGACAUGAUAGAACAUGAACAACAAAAUUUUGUUUUCCACUAGAGCAUAUGUUCUCAUAGCAUUAAACCUUUCGAAUAAGCAUCUUCUCAAUACUAUUUAGCCUCACGAGGGUUAUAAAUUCUCACAUUUCCCUACUGACUUCUCACCAAACAAAAAAAACUAGAAGAAGAACGAUACAUAAACUAUGCUCACGCAAGAACUUGCGCGCAUUAUGGGGGGUGACGAUGAUGAGUAUUGGUGAGGACCGGGUAAUCUGCAUCCUGAGGUUUAAAGCUUAAUUUACGCAGGAAAUUUGUAUACGCAUAUACGUAUGUGUAUUAGUAUACCUUUUAGUCCUCGGGAUGCGGAUUACCUCGUUCUUACUUACAAUACACGUACUCGGAGACACGAUUACUCAUCAUCUAGAGGUUGGUUUUGAUCCUCCAUUUCUUCUAAGUUUAAACAUCAUUAAUAAGAUAUUUAAGACUGAAUAUCACCACACAUAUAUAGAGUCAGUCUCAUAGAUGAUGAAUUGGUAAUAUUAUAUGACACUACUGACUUAAAAUUAUUAUCAUAUAAUAUUACUAAUUAUAUUAAAGUUUUUUUUCGUCAACAUACACACUAGUUAAAAAUUUGAAUUUAGAAAAGUUCAAUUGAUGACUCAUUUCAGGAAUGCUCGAAACAAUGGCAACGACGCUUGUGUAUGUUUGAAUUAGUGAUAUAUCCGUUUUAUUCAUACUUAAUUAAACUGGUAACUCUAACUAAUACGCUGUAUAUUUACCUUUUUGUCUAGUGAAUAAAAAAAAAUCACGACGACCUAGUUUUAUGUCUUUUAUCUAUUGCUCAAAGGUCGCUCAUUGCCUUUGACUAAUAUGUUUAGACUUGUGAUUUCUGCUAUUCAAUUAAAUUAAUUAACUGCGUUUAUUAAAUUUCAGUUAGGUGACUCAUAAAAAGAAAACAUAGAUUAAUUAAGUUAUAUAUAUAGUAUAAUGAUGUACAUACAAAUUCAAAAGUACUAUGGAUCUUGCUUUGAAAACGAGUCAGUCAAUUGAUUUUGUAGAUUUAUUCAGUUUUCAUAGAUGUCCAACACUGGAAUAAUUGUUGAUAAUUUCAGGAAAAGCAUAUGUUAAAAUAAUGCUAAUAACAAAAACAAAGCUAGUGAUGUGUAUCAAACUACCAAUUGUGCAGAGACAAAAACAAAACGCCAAAAUGCUGUGUUGUACCCUUUUUUGUCAACUGCGUAUCUGUUUUUUUUUCAGUAUAAAAAACUUAAGAAAUCUCUAAACCUAAUUAUUGAGAGUAAAAAAAAAAACAAAUAAAUAAUCAAAUUUUACUGAAAUAAAUUGUAAUGAUCAAAUAUAUUUAAGCAUUGAAUUUUUUUUGUGUAGUCCUAAAGUUGAAUCUUGAAAGGCUGCUGAUCUUAAUUUGUCUUUUUUUUUUUGUUCGUGCAAAGCUGCUGAUCUUUGUUAUUGUCUCAUAUGUAAGUGGUUAGCAUAAAAUAAUAUUAAUUUCUUGAAUAUGCGUUGUAUAUUUUGGUGACCAUAUACAACUACUUACAUCGAUCUUGUAAGAAUUGCACAUAGUAAAGUAAAUAUAUCACAAAUCAUAUGUCCGAUAACUUCAUCUAUUUAUAUAUUUAAUGAUGAAAAUUGUAGUUUGAUAAAAAAAAUAAAAAAAAUAAUGAUGAAAAUUGUAGAAACGAAAGUAUUUUAAUCGUAAAAUGGAAAAAAUUGUUAGAUUUUUAUUGAUCAUUUUUUGGUAGUUGCUAUACUGUUUAUAGGUUUUAUAUUUAGUUGUGGAAAUAAUUUAUAACUAUAACAGAAUAGAUUAUUCAUGUAAUGACAUAGAAACAGUUGUUUUCACUUUUCUUGUUUUGUCUUGGUGCCGUGGUAGAUUUUGAUAAUAAAAUUAGAGUGUUGAUUAAUUUAUAUUUGCCAAAACAAAAUAAACAAAUAAAUAAUUUCAAGUUGACCAAUUCAUAUUUCUUGAUGGAAAACACUGAUCUCUUCUCUUCUAUUCUUUCUUUCUCUUAUGAGGAAUUUUCACAAUCUUUGAUCAUCUUCUCCUUUAUUCUACGGAAGAAAUCUAUAUAUUCUAUAUAUGGAAAACAUCAAAAACCCUAAAAACGCAGAUGAUUGUUCCGAUAGCAUAUCAAAAAACAGUCAUCAAGGCGUUGAUGAUUCCCUGAACCAGUCAAGAUCUUACGUAUGCAGUUUCUGCAUAAGGGGCUUCUCGAAUGCUCAAGCACUAGGAGGGCAUAUGAACAUCCACAGAAGAGACAGGGCUAAACUCAGACAAAAGCUUAUGGAAGAUAAUAAGGAUGAUGUCGUCGCCGAGAGUGAUGCAUCCGAAGUUGUGUCUCUAGACCUUAAUGAACAACAACAACAACAAGGAGAAGCUUUGACAUGUGAUGAUCACGAUCAAUAUGUUGAUAACGAUAUAAGUCCUAAACAGAAAUUAGAGUUUUGGGUUCAAGAAAGCAAGCUUGAUACUAAUGAUCAUGGAAAGGUCACGGAGGCUAGCAUAGAUGGUUCGAGUUCGAGUCAUCAUCGUGAUAUUGAAGUAUUGGAUCUCGAGCUUCGGUUAGGCCAAAGCGUCGUAAAGAAGAAGACAACAUAGUCUCUGAACGAUGAAUCAUAUAUUGAUUGCAUUGUAUCAAUGGGAAAAUCCCUAUGAAACACCAAACUCUCUAAUCCGUCUAUUACAAAUGGAUUCGUGGCUCAAAUUGUAUUGUAAGGUAUGCAUUUGUAUCUUAUUGCUACCAUUAUCGUUGUUGUACCUUGUAUUGAUAUUUGUUUCCUUGCUUGGGUUAAUUUCACCAACAACUUUUGUAAAUGACAUACACGUCCAAACAAACAAACAUAUAUAUAGAAAUUAUAUAUAUUUGGUGUUUGCUUUAUAGUUGUUUAGGGAAAAUGAAUAACUAAUAAGCUUAACUUAGCUCAACAUUAUUGAUCUGGUCAUGGUAGAGACUAUUCAAACUUGUUCACUGAGAAAUAUUGUUACAGUUGAGUUAUAUAUUGGUAGUCGUCCUCAGAUUUUCGAGUAAGCAUUUGCCAAUUAUGACUCUUAUAUUCGAGAUUAGCACUCAACAUUUAAUUAUAUGUUAGCAAAUAGUAUAACAUUAGCUAGCAAACUUAUAAACGAUAAAUUUGACCAAAACAACAUAAACCAAGGUCACUUUAUCUACUUUUUGUUCUCUGAAUUCUGAAAACGAAUUUGAAUAUCGUAUUCUAACAGUGAAUAUUGCAUUUAUACUAAAAUUUACGAUCAUAGCCAUAAAUAAGUAGUUAUGUAUAGUCAAACUAUAUGUAGUUAUACAGUACUUUAAGACGUUUGAACCGCUAAGAUUCCCAUAAUCUGCAUGAUAAUAUAAUGUAUGUAAACUGAUACAUGCACAAUUGCACAUGAUAAAUAUAACUAAAUUGAUACAUGCCGAUUUGCGCAUGAUAAUUAUAAUUAUAUGCUCUAUAACAUGUUAGGAUUUAAAAUGAAAAGAGCAAAUGGUUCAAGGCUGCAACUUGGUGACGCCACCAAUGAUGACCUUUUACGUCUUAACCACGUUCCGGUUUGGUUCGAGAACUUGUUUGAGAUCCGCUUUGGAUCUAAAUUCAGAUUGGUUUUAUUUGAGAUGCCGUGGAAAAUUGGAUAAUUUCCACCAGAGAUAUAUGAUUUAAUUAAUUGGAUUUUGGAUUCGAUUAUAGUAAACCGAUAAUAGUGAGGCAGUAACGAACAAAACAACUUCAACCGGAUCAUUGGGUUGGUUUAGUUUACUAAUUGAACCGGUUUGAUAAUGUUUAAAAAAUAAACAAGUGACAACGAAGACCAGCAGGUCCAGCACACGAUCCUAAAUCCUGUGAGCAUCGUCUCCAUCGCUGGUCUUCCAUUAUUGACGAAUCUCUUUGCCUUUUUUUCUUCCUUCUUAAACAAACCCAAUUCGAUUUCAACGAACGCCUCUUCUCUCUCACUCUCUUUCGAUUUGUUCUUUGCCGGAGCUCGUAGUGUAAGCGUGAUCCGCGGCGGAGAGAUGGCUCCUAAUGAUCCUAAAAAAGCCGUUGGUGGCGGCGGAAGUGGUUUCUUCGCCUCUCUUGCUUCGUCGAUCUCCAAUUUGGGAUCUGCUAUGACCAAAUCAGUUAAUGGGUGAGGUUUUUGAGAUCCCUUUUCUUAAACCCGGAUCUGCCACUCAGCUCGAUUCGUCAUUUUGAUUUGAAAAAUGGAAACUUUUUUGCUUUUGGUGUCUCCUAUGUUUAGAUCUUCUUCUAACGUAGAUUGUUAUUUCUCCCAAGUCUGCUUCUUUGGAAUUGAUAUUAGACUAGAGCUUAACUCACAUUUCACAUAGAUGGAGAAUUUUGAUGCACUUCUAAAAUGGGCUUUGCUUAAAGUUAAGCUCUUUUGAACGAUUCGUUGUGUUUUGAUUUGCUUCUCAGUUUGGUUCCCUAUGAGGGACUUGAAGUUAUCAAUCCUGAAGGAAGUACAGAUGAUGCUGAGGAGGAAGCAAGCAGAGGAAGAUGGAAGCAAGAGGUAUAUAUACUUCUUCCUUUACUAUUGUUGUUGUUGACAUAACUGUUGAUCUAAUCAUCUGAGAAAUAUACACAAUUCUUAGGAUCGAGAUGGCUAUUGGAAGAUGAUGCAGAAGUACAUAGGAUCUGAUGUUACAUCAAUGGUGACCCUUCCUGUGAUUAUUUUUGAACCAAUGACAAUGCUUCAGAAAAUGGCGGAGGUUUGUGCUCAUGAUCACAUCUGAUGAUUUGUUCCUGUCUGAUAUAGUUUUGUAAUCCGAUGAUGCCAAUGAUAUGUGCUCUGUUUCUGGUAGUUGAUGGAAUACUCGCAUCUGCUAGACAUGGCAGACAAAACCGAGGACCCUUAUUUGCGCAUGGUGUAUGCAUGUAAGAACAUUUUCCCUCCUUUGAUUUCUUCUAUGAUCAGUAUCUGUCCUGCGUGGCUAACUUGUAAGAAUUGAUUUUUAACAGCAUCGUGGGCUAUAUCCGUGUAUUAUGCUUUCCAACGUACCUGGAAACCAUUCAAUCCAAUCCUUGGUGAGACUUAUGAGAUGGCUAAUUACAAUGGUGUUAACUUCAUAUCUGAACAGGUCAGGGCCAUUUCUUUAAAACUCAAAUAAAUGUCAACGUGCUAUACCUGGCAACAUCUCACAGAUGGUUGAUACCAAUGGGUUUGUUCUCAGGUCAGCCAUCACCCACCAAUGAGUGCUGGUCAUGCUGAAAAUGAGCAUUUUACGUAUGAUUGUACUUCAAAACUGAAAACAAAAUUUUUGGGCAAUUCCAUUGACGUUUACCCAGUAGGAAGGUACUUCUGCAAAACCACAGCACGGGCUGAAACUCUAUAUCCUGAAUUUCAGAUUCUUCAUUUGUACAUUAUCCUGAACCUUAAAUGCCAUGAAUCUAUGAUUGUAGGACACGGGUGACACUUAAAAGAGAUGGAGUUGUUCUUGACUUGGUACCUCCUCUGACCAAAGUUCACAACCUAAUCUUUGGACGAACUUGGGUCGAUUCGCCUGGGGAAAUGAUCAUGACAAAUCAGACCACCGGUGACAAAGUCGUGCUUUACUUUCAACCAUGUGGCUGGUUCGGGUAAGUUUUUUUCACUGCAACCUCAUUUCCUGUUAUAUUUUUUCCAUUCAAAGCUGAAGAAAUGUGCAUUUAUGGUCUCUACAGAUCUGGUCGAUAUGAAGUGGAUGGAUAUGUCUAUAACGCCUCUGAGGAGCCUAAGAUACUCAUGACUGGCAAAUGGAACGAGUCCAUGAGUUAUCAGCCGUGUGAUGGUGAAGGUGAACCUCUCCCAGGCACCGAACUGAAAGAGGUUUGCCAAAUCUUCCUCUGUCAUUGACUCAAUUCUCUUUUUGUAAAAAUCUCAGUUUGAUGAAACAUUUUAAUGCUGCCUUUUGUUCAUAGGUAUGGAAACUCGCUGAUGUGCCAAAGGAUGACAAAUAUCAAUACACUCACUUUGCUCACAAGAUUAAUAGCUUCGACACUGCCCCGAAAAAGCUGUUGCCCUCUGAUUCACGGUUACGACCUGAUAGAUACGCACUUGAGAUGGGCGACAUGUCCAAAUCAGGCUAUGAGAAGAGCAGGUAUGGUAGCAAAAACUUGUCCUUAGGAUCUGAAAUUGAAGUAAAAGCUAAUAAAUUGGGAUUUUUCUAAUUCUUCUCCUCAUCUUUGAUAUGAAGCAUGGAAGAGAGACAGAGAGCUGAAAAGAGAACCCGCGAAGAGAAAGGCCAAGCCUUUACUCCAAAAUGGUUCGAUGUAACGGAAGAAGUCACUGCUACACCAUGGGGUGAUCUGGAAGUUUACCAAUUCAAUGGAAAGUACUCGGAACAUCGUGCAGCUGCGGAUAACUCUGAAGAUAACACCGACCCUAAGUCGAUCCAAUUCAACCCAUGGCAAUUCCAAGAUCUGUCUACUUAAAUGUAUCGCUCCAAAAGACAGAAAAGAUCAAAUCUUUUUGGAAACAAAUGUAUUCUUAUUCUCUCGUAGUUACAAAAAACUUUGUUCUACAUCUGCUAGCUUUCCCAUUGCUUUCUCUAGUAUUAGUGUACAACUUCUACUGUUUUGUCUUAAAUUCAUUCAAAUCUUUCUUUGAUCUUCGUCGUCAUAGUUAUCUUCUUCUUCUUCGUCUCCUUCUCGGAGCUUGAUCCCACUCUCACCAAACCAUCUUGGAGGAUCGAACCCAGAUCCACCAAGAGGAUUGCAGCGACAGAGACGCCAAGUUGUGAGAACAGUGCCUUUAAGAACUCCAUAUUUCUUGUAAGCUUCCAUUGAGUAUUCACUGCAAGUCGGAACGUAACGGCAGCUUCUAGGUAACACCGGCGAUAUCUCUCCUGUUUUUCACCGGAAAACGCUAGUUAACCACCGGAAAAACACUCGUACAAACCCUAAAAUCAGAAUCAGAUGAUGAAUUACUCUUGUAGAAUCUCAGCAUUGCUAAAGCUGCUUUGACUCCCACACUCUCCAGCUCUUCCCCAUCUGAACUCAACCCAAUCAAUUAUUUGUUACAAAAGAUACAAACUUUAUUAACCCCGAUUUAUGGAUAAGAGAAAGAGAGACCUUGAGGGGAUGCAGGGUCUGGUUUCGAUGGCGUCGAUUUCGCAGAUAAGCAACGGAGCUGAUUUUUGGUGUUCCGAGGAAGAUGAUCAAACCUCAGGCAGGAUUCGUUGAAUUGUCGGUGAGGUUUAAGAGGAUUACGAUUUUUAGAGAUUGUGAGGGUUACAUAAGGACGAUGGAUGGAGAUGACGACCGCCAUUUAAUGUUAAGCUCAAAACCAAGUUUCCAAUCUCGCUAAAACAGAAAACUCUGUUUCUCUGUAUGGAAAAACGACCCAUUACCGACUAUUUAUAUUUUUGUAUUAAAAAACAACACUGUGCUAUGCAUAUAGUGUCGGAAUCCAGUUUUUGUGGUGAAGAAUUGUAUAUGACACGUUAGAGAAAUUUGUACGAACGAAAAAUGCAUCUGAAUACGGAGCACAUCCACAAAGAGUCAUACUUGAUCUUUCACUAUGACCAGAUUCUGAACAGAGGAAUUCUUCAGUUGAUUGGUGUUGAUGUUGGAAAAGGGCUUGAUCUUCCUCUCUAAUUCUGAUCUUCUUCUUCGUCUUCCAAUCUGGUCAUACAAAUGUCACAAACUCUUUUGGCUUUUUUUCUAUACAAAGUGCUUACAGCUAUAAUUCUGCAUAGAAACAAAUACAUAUUGACAACUGUGUCUGAAUCUGAUAACAAAAUAUGAAAGCCUUAAAUUAUCGUACAAUGAUGUCUUUUCGCCUGUUAAGUGGUAUGUAUAAUAAGCAUAAUCAGCUUCUGAGUUCUGUAUCCACAACCUAACUUCCUUUUUGAGGAAUCCAAAGAAAAACAAGGAAAAUACCUAACCGAUACCAUAUUUUUCACAAAUGGAUGCUCUUAAUCCAGUUACAAGGAUGCGAGAGGGAGAACCUUGCCAAGCAGAGUCUAGUACUGAUUACGGGCCAGUCUUGGUUUUAAGCUGAGGCGCCUAAAAUGCUUGAAAAAGGACGAGCCAGUGUGCUGUGAAGUUCAAAAUCUGCUGCCUUUUCGGUGGAACUCCCCAGAAAAAGGUAUACAUGAUUUGGGUCUUGGCUAAUGUUUUGUUUCAGAUGAAUCAGGGAUUGAAUCAAAAGCUGUACGAAAACGCACACCAGAACCGAUAUGCCUUGAUGUAGGGCAGAGCCAAGAAAGUAUGUUCGGACCCAAAAUCUGUAGAAGAAACAGUUAAAACUUGACAUAGAAUAAACCUUUGACUGAUACUGACCAUCUAAGAAAAGGAUAAGAAUUAUUACCAAGGUUAGGUUUUCAUAUGCGCCGAUGUCAUAUGGAUGCUUAUAGACUUGCCCACCUUUCUCUGCUAACCACAUAGCUCUCACUCCUUCAUGGUACUGUUCAAUUUCCGAAAAAUUGAUUAGCAGAGGAACAAUAUCUAACUAGGGCUAAGGAGAUCCAUAAUCUAGCAAUUGAAGAAAUGAAAAGACAGGGAAGAAAGAAAGACAAAGAGAAAAGAAAAAGAACAACCUCAAUAGUCGUCUUGUUUUGUAAAAUGAGGUAGAUGUGCCACCCCAGAAGAACACCUAACGCGAUGCUUAAUGGGAUAAGAAGAAAAGCUGAAAUUACCUGAAAAGAAAAACCAUAAACCAUUAGCACAAUAAUAGUUGUUGGUAGUUUGCAAAACAAAACAUCAAUCUUAAUCAUUACAUAUAUAGUUCUUAAAUAGCUUCCCAUCUCUUCCUCUUCAUCUUGAGGUUCAACAGUAAGGCUUCCCACAAGUAAAACCUAGAAAUUCAAGGAAUAUAUAUAAAGCUCAUUUACUAAGUGGCACAGAGAGAUAUGCAUUGAACUAACGGAAGUUAAGAAAUGUACCAGAGAAUAUACACAUGCAGUCACCGCAUAGACAACAAAGACAAAGAAGACCUUGUAGUUAGUGUGUCCUACGCAGUUGUUGAUCCAGAUACAAUGGUGGUCCUUCAAAUCAAAGACGACUGGUUAAACAUAAUAUCACAUGGAUUUGGGAGAUUUCAUGUUUAGUUUGGCAGGAAACAUAUGUGUUCAGUAGAGCAUACCAUUCUAAGCACACAUCUUUUGCAAACUCGACAAUGGUGAGCUCGCGGAGGUUUGAAAUGUGAACACUUUUGGCAGUACCUCAAAUCUCCUCCCUGCAAAUAACAUAACCAAAGUAACAAGUGAAUCCCAAAGCCACAAAACAUGAGGUCACAUAUGGAAUAUCAAAACCUCAACUAUUAAGGUCCUAAUUAGAAGUUAGCUGGAAAAAAAUCUGAUCACUUGAAAGUUAAAUUGUCUCAUACAUGCCAUCAAAACAACGUUAGAGAAACAAACAAAACUACAAGAAUCACCACUCUAACUAAUCCAUGUAGCCAAAAGAUGAAGUUUUUACUGCAAUCCCCAAGAGUCAACCUUUAAUGUCCCUCACUAAUAAUUAGAAGAAGCUAGGAACAAAUUUGAAAAGUUGAAAUUUCUCUAGCAAGCCAACAAAAUCUAUCAAGAGAGUCAACAAUCUACAAGAAUCACCAUUCAAGUAAAUUCAUAGAGCCUAAAGAUUGAAUUUUGAUAUGUACAGAAAAUGACUACACACCAUAGACUAUCUAGAGAAUUAUUUUGACAAAUAUGGUAAAGUUCUAAUGCAGAGAUAAUGGCAAAUCUCUUUGACAUUGAAAUGAACUAAAACCGAUCAUAAUAAUAAUCCAAAUUCCAAACUAAUACUGAUAAAUCUCUGAAUUGACUAUUCAUCACCAAGUAACAGCUAAAUGGGAGAGAAAGAGAUGACCUUUCGCUUAAUCUCAUGAACAGGACUCUCCGGAUCUUCAACAUCCGGCAUGUAAUUGAGUGGAACCCGACCCGGAUCCCUGAAAACCGCGAUGGAGUAAUUGUAUAUACACAUCAGAGCCAAAGCGGUGAAAGCGGCGGCGUUAGCGAUUCCGGGAGACGAAGUGAGGCUGAACCACCGAUCGAUGAAAGUGAAAACCGAGGCAAAGUAGAUGAAACCGAUCACCAACAUCACCACCGUGACGGGGAGAGAGAAUCCGACUCCUUUCCGUUUCAUAUUUUUUUUGGAGCACCGGCGUCGAAACGACGGCGUCUCCGGCGAGUGGAUUUUUAAUUUAAAUUAUUUGUUUUAUUUAUUCGCUUUCUCUCGAUUGAUGUUGUUGUUGUACUUUGUUGUUGGAGUACGUCUGAAGUUGUCGACGAUUUUGGAGAUCUCUUGAACUCGAAGCUCCCCACCUAAUUGAAAUGACCCCUUCUUUAUUAUAUUAUUUCGUAUUUGCCCCUUUUGUUUUAAUUUUAUCAUUAAGGUCCUCUAUUAUUGUUUUCAAAAUUUUGCUGACACAUUUCUUAAUUCCUAAAAUGCAGUUUCUGAUUAUCCGUAUAACCGAAAUUAUUUAGCUCCAUUUAAAAAUGUCAGAGCAUUUUCGAUAAUUCGCUUCGUCUCCAAUAAUUUAGCUAUGUAACGUUCAGGUUUGUAAUUGGAACUAGAAUCAUGGCUUGCAAAGACUUUCAUGAUGAUAUCUCUUAAUGAGCAUUUUUAGUUGCUCAUAUAUAAAUUCAUUUAAUAAAAAAAAGAAGAUUGCAAGUUAAUAAACUGUAAAACUGUACUAAAAUUAGUGUUUAAAGUUUCACAAAACUUGAUUACGUAUUUGAUAGAACUUUUAUUAAAGAAAAUCUCUUAUUGUUUCACAAUUCUAUGUUGUUUCAUUGUUCACUAUUCUACCAUCAAUCCAGUUUUCCUACUAAUCUUCCAAUGGCGGAGUACGUCCCGCAGCAACCGCUUACAAUGCCAGAGAUUAUGAUGAAUACGCAUAUUCCAAUCUGCCAAAAUAUCAAAUAGAUAAAGCUUAAAUGAAAUUAUCAUGUAAAAAUAUAUUGACUCUAAACAAUAACCAUUUUACUUUAUGGCAUAAAAGAAAAAAAAAUAUAUCUUACUUGAGUCUUACUCAAUCUACCCUUCAAGAUACUGAGAUAACAAAGACAAGGAAAGAUAAAAUCCUGCACGGUAAACAAAAAAAUAUGAAUCCUUUUAACAGAUGUGAUAUGUCUAUAAUCAAUGAUAGCUGUAAUUUUCUUAAACGGUGACUUACGACAAGCAUUGCGAGGAAUGAUCCCAUCAAAGCCCCCAUGAUCGCUGCAAAGUUAUAAUUAGAACAAACGACGAUAAAUUAAGAUGCUUUUUGUUGUUGUUGUAUAGUUUCAUGCAAAAAGAAGGUAAGAGUAUUUUACCGAAGAAUGGGAAUGUAAGUGCGACAACCAAAGUAGAGAGAACUAAAAUCGUUUUAAUAAAGAUAGAUACUCCAUACGAUCUCAUCUUCUCUGAUGGCAGCAUAAGUUCUUCUAGACCUAGCACAAUUGGUGUGAGAGCUAACGCGUAUUUGGUCAUCGGUACUACCACCUAAAGUAAGAGAAAAAGAACCAAUCAAAUUUUAGUAAUUAUAUAUAUGUCGAGACAAACAUGUUUACCGAGUUUUAAAGUUAUAUCUCACCGCUGUCCAAACUGCGAUUUUAGAUGCUGUGUACUGCUGUGGCAUGUUUAGUGUAAACUGUGAUUGAAUGGCCUCACCAAACAUACUGUAGCCGCAAAUCGCUACGACAAUGUAAAAGAAUACGCAGAAACCAAAACUGCAAAAAGAAACGGAGAAAUGAAAAUUUUGACCUAGUAUCUAACGUCCAUUAUAAGUAACCUUAGGCAAAGAGAUUUUUCACCUAAUGAGAAGCACCAAAGGAAACUUGGAUGGUUCUUUCAUGGAAGAGUAAAUGCUGGGUAAAACUGCGUGACCACUGAACCCAAACCCGAAUAUCCCAAUAGCGACGGGUAAGUUAGCGAGAUCAAGAGAUUUUCCACCCGUGUGAAACCCGACUCCAUCAACCGACCCAACCCAGAAGAGACAAAGAGCAAGCAAGAUCGAAACAAAGACUCCUCCGGCUAAAAGAAUGGAACACACAUAUUAAAGAAUAUAUGAACGAAUCUCGAAGCUAUAUUGGAAGGAUCUUAUGAUAGAAAAUGGAACCUGAGAGAUAGGAGAGUAAGCUAAGGUCUUUGAGCCAAACUGUAGGAAGAACAAUAAGAGUAGCUGAUAUAGCAAAGAUCUGAGGAGAAUCUAGAGAUACUCCAACGAUGUUUAAUGUAAUGUUGGGGAAAACUCUCGAUAAAUUAUCGCUCAUCAUGAUUAUAUACUCCACACAACAUACGUAUAACUCCAUGUACAAAAGUAUCUGCAACUCUCAUGAGAGAUCAAGAACCCUAUAUAUUAGUUUGGAGAUAUGUUAAGUAUAUAUGUAAAUGAUUUCCAUAUGACUAACGGAGAUGAUGAGGCGGCCGGUAAAUCCAAAGGCAGCUUGACCAAUGUCCGGGUAGGUACGGAGAUCAGAAGAGCUCUCAAGACAUCGUUUGAGGAGGAUACCGGUGUAGCAAGUGAUGAUAGCAAAGGAUAAGAGUAUACAAAGCCCGAGCCAUCCUCCUUCUUUCACCGCGUAAGGCAUUGUGAGUAGACUUAUUCCACAAAGGACAUUGAUUCCUUCACCAAAAAUAGGUUCAACUUAAAGAGAGAUUGAAACUUUUCUUUUUGUUAUGACGAUAAAAUCUCUGUUCAACCGAACCGAAUGCCCAAACCCUAAAGACUUUUGAGACAAAAUCAAUACCGAUACUAUGUCUUACCAUUUAGAACAGAUUGAGGAAACGAGCAGAAAUUUGGUUCUCCAUACGAGAGAUCGGUGUUGGAUAACCCGAUCUGAGAUGAAAGGAAUAAUACAUCGUCUUUCUCAGAGAGCAGCGGUUGUUUGCUUGUGGAAGACGCAAACGAAUUUGCAAUAGAGGUUGGACGUCUCUUGUAUAAGGAAGCGACAGAACUGGUGAAUGAUGUCUGAGAACUUCUCCGGUGAAUGAAACUGAUUGUAGGAGGUGUAACUCCGGUCAAGAUAUCCACAGAUUGUCUAUAUUUUCCAGAAAAAGGAAGAAUCUUCACAAACGUUAUAAAUUAAUUCGUUAGAUAUCGAAAAAACAGAGGAAUUUCUUUUACCGAUAACUCCGAGGCCAUGGAGCUGAAUCGUUCUGAGAUAAUGAAGAAUAUGAACUAGAAUCAUCGUCUUCGUCAUCGCAGGAGACAUCAACUUGGCAUUCCUCGUCAUCUGUCGGAAACAAUAUGUCUCUUUCUUGCUCCUCAAGUUCCAUCGUCGUUGUCUCUGUUUCAAAACAGAGUCGAAUCAGAGCAACAAAGGAGCGAAAUGAAUACUAUAAGAAAAAAAAAAGAGAUCGAGCUCUGAGUUCGAUUUGCUAUCACGUCGAGUUUGUAUUAAUCCAAUUGAUACAUGAUCAUAAACAAAUUAAUAUUCUGGUUAUUCUGGUCGUGAUAUGUAGUGUGGAAGUAUUAGUGGCGGAUCUACAUUGCCACUAGGGUAGGCACGUGCCCCAUACUAAUUAGAAAUUUUAAGCCAUAGGAUAAUGAGACUAUGAAGUCAUUGUUCUAUAUUUGAUCCAUUGGUAAUGAUUAUUCUCCAAAACAUUGAGAUGGUGGAGUUUCACUUCCUUAUUUGUUCUAUAAAAUUAUUGUUAUAAUAUGUAAUUUUAUCUUUAUAGCCACCUUUCAGUUCAAGUUUUGGGUUAAAACAUGUUGUAAGAUUCAAUUUUCUUCUUAGACAGUUAUUUUUCCUCUUCAUUUUUCACCUCGCUAUAUUUCAUAUAAAUGUAUAUGUGCCAUAUACUAGAAAAGUUUCUGGAUCCGCCCCUCACAUGUUCAAAAGUCAAAGGUAUAUGCGUGGAAUUGGAAAUUUGGAAUGGAUUUGAUUUGUCAAAAAUAAAUUAAAAAAAAGUAGGUCGACGAAGGUUAAGAUCUUUUUGUGAAAAUAGAAGAUUACAAGUUAAAACAAAGCUUCAUUACGGUAUUAAAAUUACUGCUUCACGUUUCACAAAUCUUGAUCACUCUGUUAAAUUUCAUAUAAAAAGACAAUCUCUUAUUGUUUCACAAUUUAACAUAUGUUGUUUCAUUGUUCUUCAUUGUACCAUCCAAUUCAAUUCUCCUACUAAUCUUCCAAUGGCGGAGUACGUCCCGCAGCAACCGCUUACAAUGCCAGAGAUUAUGAUGAAAACGCAUAUUCCAAUCUGCCAAAAGAUCAAAUAGAUAAAGUUUAAAUUAAAUUAUUAUGUAAAAAAUAUAUUGACUCUAAACAAUAACCAUUUUACUUUAUGACAGAAAAAAAGAAUAUAUAUAUAUAUAUCUUACUUGAGUCUUACUCAAUCUACCCUUCAAGAUACUGAGAUAACAAAGACAAGGAAAGAUAAAAUCCUGCACGGUAAACAAAAUAUGAAUCCUUUUUAACAUACGUGAUAUGCCUAUAUAAUCGAUGAUAGCUGUAAUUAUGUUAAACGGUGACUUACGACAAGCGUUGCGAGGAAUGAUCCCAUCAAAGCCCCCAUGAUCGCUGCAAAGUUAUAAUUAGAACAAACGACGAUAAAUUAAGAUGCUUUUUGUUGUUGUUGUAUAGUUUCAUGCAAAAAGAAGGUAAGAGUAUUUUACCGAAGAAUGGGAAUGUAAGUGCGACAACCAAAGUAGAGAGAACUAAAAUCGUUUUAAUAAAGAUAGAUACUCCAUACGAUCUCAUCUUCUCUGAUGGCGGCAUAAGUUCUUCUAAACCUAGCACAAUCGGUGUGAGAGCUAACGCGUAUUUGGUCAUUGGUACUACCACCUUAAGUAAGAGAAAAAGAACCAAUCACAUUUUAGUAAUUAUAUAUAUGUCGAGACAAACAUGUUUACCGAGUUUUAAAGUUAUAUCUCACCGCUGUCCAAACUGCGAUUUUAGAUGCUGUGUACUGUUGUGGCAUGUUUAGUGUAAACUGCGAUUGAAUGGCCUCACCAAACAUACUGUAGCCGCAAAUCGCCACGGCAAUGUAAAAGAAUACGCAGAAACCAAAACUGCAAAAAGAAACAGAGAAAUGAAAAUUUUGACCUAAUAUUAUCUGAAGUCCAUUAUAAGUAACCUUAAUCAAAGAGAUUUUUCACCUAAUGAGAAGCACCAAAGGAAACUUGGAUGGUUCUUUCAUGGAAGAGUAAAUGCUGGGUAAAACUGCGUGACCACUGAACCCAAACCCGAAUAUCCCAAUAGCGACGGGUAAGUUAGCGAGAUCAAGAGCUUUUCCACCCGUGUGAAACCCGACUCCAUCAACCGACCCAACCCAGAAGAGACAAAGAGCAAGCAAGAUCGAAACAAAGACUCCUCCGGCUAAAAGAAUGGAACACACAUAUUAAAGAAUAUAUGAACGAAUCUCGAAGCUAUAUUGGAAGGAUCUUAUGAUAGAAAAUGGAACCUGAGAGAUAGGAGAGUAAGCUAAGGUCUUUGAGCCAAACUGUAGGAAGAACAAUAAGAGUAGCUGAUAUAGCAAAGAUCUGAGGAGAAUCUAGAGAUACUCCAACGAUGUUUAAUGUAAUGUUGGGGAAAACUCUCGAUAAAUUAUCGCUCAUCAUGAUUAUAUACUCCACACAACAUACGUAUAACUCCAUGUACAGAAGUAUCUGCAACUCUCAAAAGAGAUCAAGAACCCUAUAUAUUAGUUUGGAGAUAUGUGAAGUAUAUAUGUAAAUCAUUUCCAUAUAACUCACGGAGAUGAUGAGGCGGCCUGUAAAUCCAAAGGCAGCUUGACCAAUGUCCGGGUAGGUACGGAGAUCAGAAGAGCUCUCAAGACAUCGUUUGAGGAGGAUACCGGUGUAGCAAGUGAUGAUAGCAAAGGAUAAGAGUAUACAAAGCCCGAGCCAUCCUCCUUCUUUCACCGCGUAAGGCAUUGUGAGUAGACUUAUUCCACAAAGGACAUUGAUUCCUUCACCAAAAAUAGGUUCAACUUAAAGAGAGAUUGAAACUUUUCUUUUUGUUAUGACGAUAAAAUCUAUUCAACCGAACCGAAUGCCUAAACCCUAAAGACUUUUGAGACAGAAUCAAUAUCGAUACUACUACGUCUUACCAUUUAGAACAGAUUGGGGAAACGAGCAGAAAUUUGGUUCUCCAUACGAGAGAUCGGUGUUGGAUAACCCGACCUGAGAUGAAAGGAAUGAUACAUCGUCUUUCUCAGAGAGCAGCGGUUGUUUGCUUGUGGAAGACACAAACGAAUUUGCAAUAGAGGUUGGACGUCUCUUGUAUAAGGAAGCGAUGGAGCUACUGAAUGAUGUCUCAGUACUUCUCCCUUGUAUGAAACUGACCAUAGGAGGUGUAACUCCGGUCAAGAGAUCCACAGAGUGUCUGAAUUUUACAUGAAAAAAAGAAGGAAGAAUCUUCACAAACACUUCAAAUAAUUUCGUUAGAUAUCGAAAAACAAAGUAUUUUAUUUUACCUAUAACUCUGAGGCCAGAAAGCGGAAUCAUUCUGGGAUAAUGAAAAAGAUGCAUUGGAAUCAUCGUCGUCAUUAACAUAUGAGACAUCGACAUGGCAGUCAUCGUCAUCUGUCUGAAUCAAUAUGUCCCUUUCUUGCUCCUCAAGAUCCAUCUUCGUCGUCUCUGCUUCAAAACAGAGUUAAAUCAGAGCAAGUAACAGAUUCCAGGACAGAACAAACGAAACAGGAAAAAAAGGAGGGAACAGAGAAGUGAAAUGAAUAUUGGAAGAAAUAUAAAGAGACGACGAAGAGACUCGGUAUUGAGUUCGAUGUGUUGUCACGUCUGACGUCUGUCAACUUUGUAUUAGUCUUAGGAAAAAAACACUUUGUAUUAGUCCAUUGAUACUACUUGAUCAUAUGUAACGAAUUAAAUUCUGGUCGACUGGUCGUUAAAUUUAGAGUGGAAGGUAACGUUCACAUGUUUAAAAGGUCCAAAGUCAAAAGGUACAUGCGUGGCAUAGAUUUGCCAAUAAAUUAAAGAAAAAAAGGUAAAUUCAAGAAAGGCUUAUCGAGCUAAUUUAAGCCCAAUAAUACUGAACUAUUUGGGCUUGAGUCUUAAAGGCCCAAUUUGUGGAGGAGGCGUCAUCGUCUUCGCUUUUCCUUUUCCCUUGAGAGGUCGUCGACGAGGUUUAAGAUUUUUAAGAAUGUUGUAGUAGCUUCGCGAAUAAUCUCAGGUCUUCUAUAAAACCAAACUAGCGAUUAGCCGACUCUUCCUCUUUAUUAUUACAAAGACGAAAAGGCUUCGAGUUUUGUAAUUUCUUCUUCUGUUACAAGUUCUUUUCACUGUGAAAGUAAUUCUUCAAUGGCGAAAGACGGACCUAAUUGGGAUGGUUUGCUUAAGUGGAGUCUCUCUCACGCCGACGGUACUCGACCCACUCGCCAGUUGAGGUACGGACAUUCAUCUUGUAGUUGGUUUUUUAGGUUCUGUCUUUUGAUUUGUCUGAAACUGAUGGGAUGCUUGGUGGGUAGUUUAGGUAUCUGUGUGGCUAUGAUUGAGCUUUCACUUGAGGAGAUGAAUCUUAUGAGUGAAUUCGAAUCUGGGUUUGUUUAAAGUAGUUUUCUUUUUUGAAGAUAUCUGUUCAGUUCAUCGGUUUGGUUAAGAUUCAAUUAUCGAAUUCUGCUGUUAUGUAGGUGAAAGGUUAUCUAUUUUCUCGUUUUUACAUGAAACUCUGUUAAUUUUUUUUAAGGGAAUUCACGAUUUGUUCAUGUCAAAUCAUUCUGUAUGUGUUUUAUUGUGGAUUGUUUUGUUGAUUUGAGUUGUUUUAAUGAGACAGUGAGGAGGAUCGAAAAUGGUUUAUGGAGGCUAUGCAAUCGCAGACUGUAGAUGUAGUCAAACGCAUGAAGGAGAUUACACUAGUUAUGCAAACACCUGAACAAGUUUUGGUGGAACAUGGAGUAACACCUGAAGAUAUCCAAGGUGCGUAAUUUGUGGCUAUAAUACAUAGCUUAGAUCUUUAUCUUUUGCCAUUGUGUGUAGGGUACUAAUUGAGUUUAUUAUUCUGGUAGAUUUGCUGGAUGAGCUGCAAGAGCACGUUGAAUCGAUCGAUAUGGCUAACGGUACAUUAUCUCUAACUUGGACUUUGCUUUUUUUUUUUUUUUUUUUUUCUUUCCUGUUCUGGUUAGCUCAAUUUGAACAUUGCUUGUAACAACUUGUUUACUUACUAUUGUGUAGAUCUUCAUUCAAUUGGAGGCUUGGUUCCUCUUCUUAGUUUCCUUAAAAACUCUCAUGCUAAUAUUCGGGCAAAAGCUGCGGAUGUCGUUAGCACAAUAGUUCAGAACAAUCCUAGAAGUCAGGAACUUGUUAUGGAAACCAAUGCUCUGGAGUCAUUGCUCUCGAAUUUCACUUCAGACACUGAUAUUCACGCUCGAACCCAGGCUCUUGGCGCAAUAUCAUGUAAGCCUGCUUCUGAUAGUUCAUUUUUAGUAAAGAUUGAGAUGAUCAAAAGCUUUUGUGAUUUCUAUUUUACUUGGUUUGUGAUACUAAAAGAGACUUAUCUUUUCAAUAUGGGAUGUAGCUUUGAUUCGCCAUAACAAACCAGGAGUAACGGCUUUCAAGCUUGCCAAUGGUUAUGCUGGCCUAAGAGACGCCUUGGCAUCUGAUAGUGUGAGAUUUCAAAGGUAACCCACACAAAUAUUCUUAUCAUCUGCGGAUAUAAAAUCGUGGAAGAUUCUUGAAUUGUUGCUCAUUUUCUUUAUUCAAAUUCUCCAGGAAAGCCUUAAACUUGUUGCAAUAUCUACUGCAAGAGGAUGAUUCAGACCGCAGUAUUGCCACUGGACUUGGAUUCCCCCGAGUGAUGAUGCAUCUUGCCUCUAGUGACGAUGCUGAGAUCAGAGAAGCCGCUCUUCGUGGAUUACUUGAGCUUUCAAGAGAGAAAAACGAUGGAAGUAGCAGCAUAGAUAAAAGCGAUGAGAAACUGAGGCAGCUACUAGAAGAACGGAUCAAAGGAAUCACCUUGAUGUCACAAGAGGAUCUUGAAACGGUUAAAGAAGAGAGACAGCUCGUGGAUUUACUGUGGAGCAUUUGCUACAAUGAACCUUCUUCUCUGAGAGAAAAAGGACUUGUCGUUCUUCCCGGUGAAGACGCAUUGCCUCCUGAUGUCGCUAGCAAGCUCUUUGAGCCUCCUCUUAGAGCUUCUGCAGCAAACCGUAAUGCUACUGAGAAGAAAGAUGAACCUAUGAAACUACUUGGACCAUAGACGAGAAAUCAAAGCUAAAACUUUUUAUUACUUUUCCUUGUUUUUUAUGUUUUGUAACUUUUCAAAUUGUCAGAAAAGUUUCAUAGAUAUAUGUAUUAUGUCAAUGAUCAAGGGCUAUGUUAUGUUAAUUUUUGUUUUCAUCAUUCGAGAUCUUUAGUCUUGUUAUUGUUGAGAUUAAGAAUAUUCAGCUUCAAUGCUUUUUCAAUUCAACAAGUGUUCUAUACGAUUUCGGUUUAGCAACAGCUAAUACGGACCCGAUCUAAUUGAUCGGUUAAAAUUGGUAACUUUGAAUUGCGGUGAACCGAAGAACAAAACCAAAGCGAACGUCACAAUUACUUUGCAAUCCCUAAAGGGACAGAGUUCGAAUCAAGGCAGUCUCACAUAUCGGAGAAAUCUCUCGUCACGUCUCUCAGCUUCGCCUUCAACACCGUCGUCGCCGUCACGGCCAACUCCGGUAUUGUUAUAUAGAUACAAUUACAGUGAACUAGAUAAUCUCAUCAAACCCUGAUUCUUUCCACUUCCUCGCACGAUUGUGUGAAAACAGUUACUUUCGCUAUAAAUAGUCUGAUCUUCUUUCUAUUGAGCAGUAAGAUUGGAAGCUGUUGUUUCGAAUCGAUUCAAGCCUCGAAUCUGAGUUUCGGAUCGAUAUUAGAAGCUAAGGUAGGAGCUUUUUGAGUGAAGGAGUUAUGGUAUGGUGUAACCAUUGCGUGAAGAAUGUUCCCGGAAUACGCCCUUAUGAUGGUGCAUUGUAAGUGUUUUUGAUUAUUCACUGAUGUUUUGUUAUCUUAUGGUUUGCUCUUUAGGAGCUCAGUUUCUGUUGGAUUUGUGGUUUCCAAGCUUCGAAUUAUGAAAUAUCAUCGUUUUUGAUUUUUACAGGGCAUGUAAUUUAUGUGGGAGGAUAUUGGAGAAUUUCCAUUUUUCUACCGAAGUUACAUUCGUUAAGAAUGCUGCUGGACAGGUAUACGCAGCUGAGCUUUAGCUUCAGUUACCUCUUUUGAAGCUCUUCUGUUUUAGUGCUACAUAUGUUUCUUCGGAUGUUCUCGAUGUGUCUAGUGGUUUGCGGAUGUGAUUAAUAGGAUGUAGGAUUAGAGAGAUGUGAGAAUAUGAGUUGGAGAAUCUUGGAACUGUUAUCACAUCUCUGCUUAAAUGUUCUGUGGGGUUUGUAUGCGAAGAUGAACUUUUUCCUUCAGACUGAAACUUUGCAAAGACCAUAUUAUAUGAAAGGUCAAAACUACCGAAGUAUAAGAAAAUGCACUAAGCAACCAGCUUUAUUUAGCCACAACCAGUAGAAAUAUCAUCGAUAGACUUGACAAUGGAUUUGUUUCCAAGACUGUUGUCUCUUUAGUGAUGAUAUCCACAGAGUUACUUGAGAUUUAUACAGCCUUUGGUUUCUUUGAACAAUUUGGUUCAAGCUUACAAAUUAUUUCUGUUUCUGCAGAGCCAAGCAUCAGGUAACAUAGUGAGGAGUGUUCAAAGUGGGAUUACAAGCUCACGUGAAAGGAGAUUUAGAAUAGGUAUGCCCCUUUUUGUAUAUGUAUAUGUAUCUGUGUUCGCUGUUGGCCCAAAUUCUGCAACUGAUACAUCUAUUCUACAGCUUUCGCUUAUGUUUGACAGAGCUAUUCCCUUCCCUUUUUAUUGUAUUUCGAACUUUUCAGUUCAGUAAUUGCGUAUGUGUACUCAUUAACCCAUCCUUAAAUUUACUUCCAAAUUCAGGCCAUGUGACUGUUUCAAAAACCAUUGCAUUGUUAGACUCUUUACAUUAAUGCAAUUUUGAUUCUUAUGAUCUGACAGACCUUCGUCUUUUUGGCAGCUAGAGAUGAGCUUAUGAAUUUGAAAGAUGCAUUGGGGAUUGGUGAUGAGAGAGAUGAUGUGAUUGUCAUCGCAGCUAAAUUCUUUGAAGUAUGGUUGGUUUACUUAAUCUCUGAAUAUUAAUUUGUAAAGUACUUUUACCCCUUCUUUUAACUCCAUUAAUCUUCUGCAGAUGGCAGUUGAGCAGAAUUUCACGAAAGGCCGCAGAACUGAACUAGUACAGGCUUCCUGCCUCUACUUGACGUGCAGGUUAGAUUCCUAGUAAUCGUCUUAUUGCUCUCCUAUGUUUUUUCCUCUUUAGAAUACCUUGCUGAAUUAUGUAGUUGAUGUUUUAUUCGCUGUAUGUUAACCAUAAAAUUUCAUGAUCUGUAGGGAAUUGAACAUUGCGUUGCUUCUUAUUGAUUUCUCAAGCUACCUUCGAGUUAGCGUGUAAGAUGAUUCUUUUUCAUUUCCCUACUGUUCUCUUUCUUUUGCAACCUAAUUACAUGUUAAGUCUAUUGCAAUGACAAUUCAGGCUUUGCUGUUUUGGUUUUAUCAAAUAUUGUGCAGUUAUGAGUUAGGUUCUGUAUACUUACAACUCUGUGAAAUGCUGUACCUUGUGGAAAAUCGGAAUUAUGAAAAGCUUGUUGAUCCUUCAAUUUUCAUGGAUCGAUUCUCAAACAGUAAGUAUGUCAUGUUUUGGCUACCAUUCGUUUUUGUAUUUGGUUGAUGCAGAACAUCAGCCAAGAAACAAACAGUUAUAUUGAAUACUUAACCCAGCCUACUUGUUUCAUCAUACUCUUGCAGGCUUAUUGAAAGGAAAAAAUAAUAAAGAUGUUGUGGCAACAGCUAGAGACAUUAUAGCUAGUAUGAAGAGAGAUUGGAUACAGGUGUGACUUUGUUAUGUUAGUGUAUCGUUUCCUAUGUACGCUUUGCCUUAGAGUUAAUUAAAUUAUGAGUUAUGUUAAUAUUAGCUACGUAUUGGCUUGCAGACCGGCCGGAAGCCUAGUGGAAUAUGUGGAGCAGCACUUUACACAGCUGCUCUUUCUCAUGGUAUCAAGUGCUCUAAGACAGAUAUUGUAAGAUAUGAUUGGCUAUAAAGAAAUAUUGUUUUAGAUGAGAGGAAAAGUGUUUUAGCCUUUAAUUCACUAAUUUAGUACUGAUUUGGUGUGUUUUCUACUUCCAGGUAAACAUUGUGCAUAUAUGUGAAGCAACUCUCACCAAACGAUUGAUUGAGUUUGGCGAUACGGAUUCUGGAAAUUUAAAUGUGAGUUAAGGCUAAUGAGUGUCUAGCAGAAUUACAUGCUAUCUGGUCAUAUCAGCACACAUUGGGUUAAAUAUGAGGAUCUGGUUCCGCCGUCAUAGUAGUUAUAACUUAUAAUAUUGCAUGUUCCACUGCUAUUGGUUUGUUGUCAUAUGCAAUAGUGUCACAGGCUCGAUUUGCUUUGCCUCAUAUCAGUUGAAGAAUUAUGUUCAUUUUUAACGGUUGUACAUAUGUGGCUAGGUUAAUGAGCUCAGAGAAAGAGAAUCGCAUAAAAGAUCUUUUACCAUGAAACCAACCUCAAAUAAAGAGGCGGUGCUCUGUAUGCAUCAGGAUAGUAAACCUUUUGGUUAUGGACUAUGUGAAGACUGCUACAAAGAUGUAGGUCACCGGUUAAUUUCCUGAUUUUUCUAAUCACGUCUUCUGUUUACGUAGUUGCGAGUCGUUGACAAAUGGUUCCCAGAGUUAACAAUCAAAUGUUUUCUUUUGCAAUUUUUAAUGCAGUUCAUAAAUGUUUCUGGUGGACUUGUUGGUGGGUCCAAUCCUCCUGCUUUCCAGCGCGCAGAGAAAGAGCGAAUGGAAAAAGCAGCUAGAGAAGAAAACGAGGGAGGAAUUAGUAGCCUAAACCACGAUGAACAACUAUAUGUAAGUUUUGGUGCUCUUUUAUUUGAGGAUUGCAGUUUAGAUAUUUUCCUCCCUACCCAAAGCACCUGUAUUGGGAGCUUGUUCACUUCUGCUUGUAUGAUAUUAUAAUAAAAUCUUUCUUGUGCCGAACUUUUAACAGUCAGACUAUUGCAGUAUGAGCAAAAGGGGAAAACAAUGUUCUGGUGAGUGCAAUUGUUUUCUAUCAGAUUAAAGUUCUUCACUAUCGUUUGAGCACUUGAGAAUCUAUUUGGGCUGUGUCGCAGAGAAAGGUGAAAAAGAUAAAGAUGGGGCUGAAGAACAUGCUGAUACUUCGGAUGAAUCAGACAACUUUUCUGACAUCAGUGAUGAUGAGGUCGGUAAUUGUUUAGUAGUAAAUGCUAUGUCAAAUUUCCAACCUCGAAUAUGGAACAUGAAAUAAAGAAGAAUUCUCAACAGUUUCAAAGUCUUGUUUUCUCACUACAGUUUCCCUUGUUAUAUUUGAUCGUCAGUCAUAGUAUUUUACUGUUGCUCAGGUAAAUGGCUAUAUCAACAACGAGGAGGAAACGCACUAUAAGACGAUCACAUGGACAGAAAUGAACAAAGAUUAUCUUGAGGUGAUUUCAGAGGCUAUAUAAUAUGUAUCUUCUCUUGGAUUCCUUUUGAUUUAUCACCUAGGAGAUCAAAUCACAUACAAAAUUAUGUUGUUUUGUAGGAGCAAGCUGCUAAGGAAGCAGCUCUGAAGGCGGCUAGUGAAGCUUUAAAAGCUAGCAACUCUAAUUGCCCAGAAGAUGCAAGAAAGGCUUUCGAAGCUGCCAAAGCUGAUGCGGCAAAAUCUAGAAAGGUGACUCAGUUUGAACUUUGAAAUUAUGUUCCUGAUCAAGCAUCUGACUUUUGGAGAAUAACAUGAUACCCAUUGAUGACAUAUGGUUUCUCAAUCAAUUUCUGAUUCUUUUUUCUCUCUCUUCAUAUAGGAAAAGCAACAAAAAAAAGCUGAGGAAGCAAAGAACGCGGCUCCUCCAGCCACAGCAGUGGAGGCGGUACGCCGAACGCUUGAUAAAAAGGUUAGAAUGUCAGCUUCUUUGAUACCUUGAUACUUGAAAACGAAUAUGCAAAAAAAGAUAAACCGAGUAUGCCAUGUAUCAUCUGUUAAAAACCUGGCCUGGAAGUACAUAGUCAACAACAUGGCUGUCGAAAUUAUUAGCAUUGAAGAAACUUUAGAGUCUGUGUUUCUUCCUUUUUCCUGAUUUUGAGUGUUGACUCUUACAGAGACUUAGUUCGGUGAUCAACUACGAUGUUUUGGAGUCGCUAUUUGAUACAUCCGUAAGUUUUUGAUUACCUCUUCUUGUAUCCUCAAUUCUCAUCACUUUUUGAGGUCUUUACAAUUUUGCUUCUCUUUUCUUCUUUCAGGCACCUGAGAAAUCACCCAAGAGGUCGAAAACAGAGACAGACAUUGAGAAGAAGAAGGAAGAGAACAAGGAAAUGAAGAGUAAUGAACAUGAGAAUGGUGAAAAUGAAGAUGAAGAUGAAGAGGAUGAAGAAGAAGGCAAUGUAGAAUCAUACGACAUGAAGACAGAUUUUCAAAACGGCGAGAAAUUCUAUGAAGAGGACGAGGAAGAAGAAGAGGAUGGUAAUGAUUUUGGAUUGUAUUGAUGAUAUGUAUUGUGAAACACAAGAGUUUUAAUUUCUUUUGUUUUGCCGGAUUAGUUGAUUUUAUUUGCAUUAAUAUAGGAGAACCCCAACUAAAUUUAUUCUUUAUUAUCAGUAACAAAUAUUUAAGAUUUAAAAGAAAAAAAAGUUCACACAAAUGAUCUAUUUAUUUUUACAAUUCAAGUGGUACUGACUAAGAAAUGAAAAACCACUAACUUAAUUAAUUUAAUAAAAUCUAUAUGUAUUUAAUUUUGAUAAUUUUAUUUUCCUUGUUUAUGAUAAUUCUAAUUUCUAUCAGAUAACAACUAACAAUCACUGAACUUAUCUCACCUAUUUGAUGAGCUAAAUGUAUUUUAAAUUUAUUUUUCUAUAAAGAUAUAACUGAAACAAAAGUGAUGACUUUUUAUGAAAAUUCCCAAAAUCAAAUACCAGAAAAUUCAAUUUUAAACAAAAUGUGUCGGUCCGGAUGAUCUUACAUCUAGCUUGGUUUUACAGGAUAGUAUUUAAGAAGAAUCAUAAAGUUCAUCUCAAACCAAAUCCGACGGUCCAGAGUCACCUGCAAAGCUUGGCAUCGUAUACGUGUUCAGUGGUCAACGGAUCAGCUACGAGUGCCGUUUGAGGUUCAAACUUCUGUUUCUGAGGUUAACUCUCUACCGUUAACGUCCGUUAGUGUACCUUCUAACCUUGACGACUUUUCCACUUUCCAAAAGAUAACGACGGCGUUAAAUUGGUCUAUUUUACUGAACCAGCUUUAACCAGAAUUAGAUUGCAUUACAUUCAACUCGUGCUUAUGGAUAAAUAUCAGUUCGGUUUGGAGAAAAUAGGUUACUUAAGGUAAAAAGAACGGCAAGUAACGGUGUGACGUCAGCAGAAGAAGUAUUCGUUAUAAUAGUGAGAGAGAGAGAGAUAAAACUUAGGGAACCCUUUUUUAUGUUUUAUUUUCUCGCUUUGUUUCGAUCAAGUCUUCUCUUUCUCUCUCUAUCCCUCUCUCUCUGGUUCAACGGGCAAAGUAUUUUUCGAAUAAAGUUUUGGUUUUUUUUUUAACGUUCCUUUCGCCUUCUUUCUUCUUCUUCUGCUGGUGAAUUCGUGUAUCUAUCUAUCUCGAUGAGCUCCACUUUUAAUCCAGCCGCUUCUUCUCCAGAUGAGGUUAGUUUUUGUGUAUCGAAUCUGAAUUUUUAAGGGUUUUGUUCUUGUGAUCAGAUUCUAGUGAAAUUGAGUUCUUUGUUGUUUGGCUCUGAUUCGAAACGAAUUUAACUUUAUUGAAACUAUAAAUUUUUGUGAUUACAAUUGUUAUAAACCCUAAUUUUGCUGUGGUUGGUGUUAAUGUUGAGCUGUUUACUGAAUUCGUGAUUUGUGAGAUCUGGGUUCUGUCUGCUUUGUGUUUUACGAUGAUUGCUUUUUUAGGGUUUCUCUGUUUCUUAUCAAAGUCUGGAUCUUUUUUUUCUUUCAUUGAGAUGAUGGAUCUUCAGGAAGAAACAGGUGAAGUGAAAAUUGAGGAUCAGUGUGUAGAAAAUAAGCAAUCAACACCUGCUUCGUGCUCUUCUGUAUCUGAAGGCAGUGCUGGUAGUUCCCACAAGUCACCUACAAUUGCAAGUCCUGCCACAGUAUCACCUACUCAUAGGUACCUCGGGUUAGUUCGUCUCCUUCUUCUUCUUCCUUGUUUUGUAUCUCCUCCGCAGCACUCGUUUGCGAAUUUGCAUCUUUUCUACAAGAGAUUGAUGUUGAUAGUGUUUGGUAUGCAGGAGGACGAGUGGCCCUAUAAGGCGAGCCAAAGGUGGGUGGACUCCGGAAGAGGUUAGUAUUGAGUAUUGACUAGUGAUUGCUUUUGACCAAUAUCAAUUUUGGAUCAGUAGUUCGAAAUUCAAGAUGUGAGUUGUUUUACUUAAUGCAGGAUGAGACAUUGAGACAAGCAGUUGACACGUUUAAAGGCAAGAGCUGGAAGAACAUAGGUAAGUCUCUUCUUCUUUUUAGAUUCUAGUUCUCAUAUUAACAAGAGUAAUGUCAGUGCUACAACAUACUCCAUAGAUUUGUGGUUCGAAUAUUAAAGUUGGAGCCUACUUGCUUACAGUAACUAUUAGUUCCAUACUCUUGUCUCUGUAGUUUUAUGAGUUACUCUUGUAUGUUAACUUGAUCAUCUGAGGCUGAGCAUCUAGUAGAAAGACUUUCUUUUACGUUUGUUUCCGUUUUGUUCCGUGAAGCAUUUAGUAUUGUUUGAAUUGGUGUAUUCAUUUUUGCAGCGAAAUCUUUCCCUGAUAGAACUGAAGUUCAAUGCCUGCAUCGGUGGCAGAAAGUUCUAAAUCCAGACCUUAUUAAGGGACCUUGGACACAUGAGGUUGAUUCUGUUUCUGAUUUUAUUUAUUAUUUGGCUUCAUUUUUUAUGUGAAAUACGAAGGCUUAAAGUUUGUUGUUUUGCAGGAGGAUGAGAAAAUCGUUGAACUGGUUGAAAAAUACGGGCCUGCGAAAUGGUCUAUUAUCGCACAGUCUUUACCAGGUCGAAUUGGGAAGCAAUGCCGAGAGAGGUAGUUAAUUCAUAUGAGCCAAGCAUUUUUCUUAUAGUUAUAUUGGAAGCUUUAAUGUGUUUUGAUAUGUAUGCAGGUGGCAUAACCAUUUGAAUCCUGAUAUUAACAAGGAUGCUUGGACCACAGAGGAAGAAGUAGCUCUCAUGAAUGCUCAUCGAAGCCACGGAAACAAAUGGGCUGAAAUUGCUAAGGUCUUACCCGGCAGGUAUUUUUACUUUUCUUGGCAUGCGUCAUUGGAGUUGAGACUUUAGAGAAGGGUUAGCUUCUGGGUUUAAUGAAGGUUUUACUUAAAACUUGCUGCAGGACUGAUAAUGCAAUAAAGAACCAUUGGAAUAGUUCAUUGAAAAAGAAGUCAGAAUUCUACUUAUUGACUGGUAGGUUACCACCACCAACAACAACAAGGAAUGGUGUUCCUGAUAGUGUAACCAAACGUUCAUCGUCUGCUCAGAAAAGGGUUUUUGGUUCAGUUGCUCAAACCUCAUCAGUAACUACAGAUGUAAACAAUCUCGCUGAAGACGGAAAUGGCCAAAUAAACUCAUCUGUUCCUGUCGAAGAAGUAGUAGCUGCUUCACGAAUGACUAGUCUUAAUGAGUAUGCUCGUUCUCCUCAGUUGCCUAACCCAGAGCCAUUGCCAGAGAAUGGUGGAGCUGCAAAUAAUGGUUAUCAUCUGUACUACACGCCUCAAAUAGACUAUUACAGGGCGUCAGAAGUGGAUACGCAGCGUAUGUAUGGGAAUGAAUGUGGUUGCAGUCCAAGCGCAUCACCAGUUAGCUUCUUCACUCCACCGCCGUGUAGGAAUGUGCACAGUAACGGUUCGACUCCAAGAAGUCCUGAAUCUUACCUGAGAGAAGCUGGUAGAACUUACCCAAACACACCAUCCAUAUUCAGGAAAAGACGACCCAGGGUUGUUGUUCAGGAUAACAACAACGCCAAGAAAACAGAUGAAGCUAAAGAGGUUGAUCAAAAGGUGAAUGAUGGUAAGGAUAGUUCAGAGAUUCAAAAUAAUGGAUCAAAUGCUUACAAUCUAUCUCCUCCAUAUCGGAUAAGAUCGAAAAGGACAGCAGUUUUCAAAUCAAGACAGCUUGAGUUUAUAUCUAGAGAGGAAGAGAAAGCUGAUGAUGAAACCAAAUCAUCUGAGAAAGAUAUGUUGAUUGAUGGAGAUUCUCAACUCCUAGGCUAAACAGUGACUAGAUGAUUACACGCUGAAUGUUGUUUCAUUGGUUAUAUUUUUAUUUUUGGGUUAAUGUUAGAGAUGUUAGAUGUAUUUAGUCCAAAGAAUAAUUUACACCUCAUAGUUGAGCUAGGUUUUUUUUUUCCAUAACAAAAAAAAGAUCUUCAGUAGUGGGCCAUAGAAAUUGGUGCAUGUUCUUGAUUAUUUGAUUGAUAUGCGUCUUUGAUUAUUUGAACAUUGAAUCAUUCGUUCACCGAUGUGAACAAUAUCACUCUGCUUUGAAUUUUUUUCUAAAUAGACUUUAUGAUGUCAUUAUUCAAACGGGUAGGUAAUUUACAAAUCAUAAGAUAGUUUCACAUUGACAAAAGUGUUUUAGAUCAAAUCAGCUAUAUUCUUUGGCAACUCGUCAAUCUGAGUACUGUAGUACUGCUCAAUGUCCCGGAGAAUCUUGAUCUCGUCGAUUUUAACAAAGUUGAUUGCAACACCCUUACGUCCGAAACGACCAGACCGUCCAAUACGAUGAAUGUAGAGCUCACGGUUGUUAGGGAGAUCAUAAUUGAUGACAAGAGAAACUUGAUCCACAUCAAUCCCACGUGCAAACAUAUCUGUUGUGAUCAAAACGCGACUUUCACCUGUCCGAAACUGAUUCAUGAUCUCGUCUCUCUCCUUCUGAGGCAUGUCCCCAUGCAUUGAUGAGACAGUGAAGUUGCUGCUCCUCAUUUUCUCACUAAUAUAGUCCACUUUUCGUUUUGUGUUGCAGAAGAUAACAGCUUUAGUGAUGAUAAGUGUGUCGUAAAGAUCACAUAUUGUCUCAAAUUUCCACUCCUCUUUCUCUACAGAAAUAAAAAAGUUUUUAAUUCCCUCAAGAGUCAACUCAUCACGCUUCACAAGUAUCUUCACCGGAUCCGUCAUAAACUUGCUUGUCAUCUCCAAAAUCUCGUGAGGUAGAGUUGCAGAAACCAAGCAAACCUGAAUAUCAGGUGGAAGAUAUCUGUAAACAUCAUAGAUUUGUUCCUUGAAUCCUCUGCUCAGCAUUUCAUCUGAUUCAUCAAGAAUCAAAAGGUUAAUAGCUCUGGUGCCUAGACUUCUCCUCUUUAUCAUGUCAUAGACACGACCAGGUGUUCCGGACACAACAUGGACACCAUGCUCCAGCUUCCUUAUGUCUUCUCCGAGGCUCUUCCCACCAAUGCAUGCAUGCGUCUUAUCUGUUUGUGAAAGCCAGCUCUCUUGUUGGGGAUAAUAUCAAGGCCUGAACCCUGCAAUCAGAAAUACCAACAAAUAAGAUGAGAAUAAAUUUGGAGAUAACUUGGCAGAAAAGUUAAAAUUGGAAUUAGGGUAUGAGGAAGAGAAAACGUACUCUCUAGACGAAAGUGUCAACGACUUGGCAGACGGAGAGAGCAAUCAUAGAGGUCUUUCCCGUACCGGACUGAGCUUGAGCAAUAACAUCUCGCCCUUGGAGAAUUGGCAUGAUCGCCCUCUGCUGAAUGGCCGAGGGCUUCUCGUAACCGUACUCGUAUAAACCACGAAGAACAUCCUCUUUAAGGCCCAUAUCUUCGAAACUCUCGAUGGGAUCGACCCCUUUGGUCGUCUCGAAGUCAUCCAUUGUUCCAACGCCUCUCCUACGGUCUCCACGGCCAGGAUUCGCCACCAUAAUAAUCUAUACCCUAAUCGAUCUCUGUUUAAAAGUUGAAAAGCUUUUUGAUUUUUUGUAUUCAAUAGAAGAAUGUUGUGAGCUCUAAACAACACCAAAGGUCACGUUUAUAUAGCAAAAAUCCAACACCCUUUUCCUAUCAAGAAUAUGUUUCUAAUAAGGAAUACCCCGAUCCGAAACCGACUUUAGCCAUAUUAUAAAGAAAAAUAAAAAAAAAGAACGAAUUACAUACGUGUUAUUGGUUACCGAUUUAAAUAGAGUUUUAGUAAUUUAAAAUAUUGUGGAGAAUCUGUUGUUAUUUAAUCAAGACUUUUAAAAAGUUUGUUAAAGUUAGGUGUUAAUAGUUUAAUAUUUGUAAAAAGUAAUCUAAAAUCUUCAUAAAUUUAGAGUUAUUGGAUUCAUACUUUUAUAAAAAUUCAUUAAAAGUUUGUUUCAAAUAAAAUAAAAGAAUUUAUGAUUGUUAAUGAAUUAAAUUAUUGUGUUAUUGGUUUAUGACUUUCUACGCUUUUCGUUAAAAAAAAUAAAGUCAUGAAAAAUAUCAUCAAAAUAGAGAGAUUGUUUGAAAAGCUAAUCAACAACAUUAUAGAAAAUUCUCAAACAAUAGUUUAGAAUUUUUGAUACUGACACCCAACUUCAACAAACUUUUUAAAGCCUUCAAAAUUCUUGGUAAUUUAAGAAUCAAUAACACACCAAAAAGAAAAGAAAAGACCAAAACAAUAACACUGACUUUAGCAAUAAAUUAAGUGUAAUGGGCCCAUAUCAAGAUGAACAAUGAUGCUUCCACAUGACCAGGGUUACUAACAUCCAGUUUAUAAUACAUUGUUUUGUACUAACUAAAGAGUUUGCAAACCCUUUAACCCUUCUAUGACCAGCGUUAAUAACAUCCAGUUAAGCGUUAAUAAUGAAGCUAAGGAAGGCUACUGUACAAGUUUCAAGGAGAGAAGGAUUGCUUGAAAUUCAUGACCAAUAACGAAUACAUGAUAUGUUACCAGUUACCACCAUUAUGUGAAAAUGUUACGUUAAGAACAAAUAUUUGGAUUGUUAAUUUAUUAAAAAUGAUGUUAAAGAAACAUUAGACUAACAUAGCUUAUUACUGAUUCAUGUCAACACCACAAACUCUCACAACUUGUCUUAUACUCUUAUUAGUAAAACCAUCAAUUCCAUUCCAUCUUUCUCUGUUUCGAUUCCCAUCCGUAACGUUUUCAUUUGGUCAGGCGAAAUUAUGUCAUGAUUUUGACUCAUUAGAGAAUUACCAAGUUCCUGAUUUUGGUAAGAAUAUAUAUAUAUAGAGACAACACCAACGACUUUUCAUACCAUAUUUUAAUCAUUUAGCAAUGACAAGUUGUGACUAGAUAUUUGAGAAUAAAGUGAAAAACAGAGUAAAUGUUACGAGGCUCUUGUUUUGAGUUAAUGUCAUAGAAGAGAUUGAAACAAGAAACUGAAGACAGAGGUAAAUCAUAUAUAGACGAUGUGCCGAAACUUAGAUGAAUCAAACUAACACACUUGCAUCAUUUUAUUAAGCAGAGCCACCAACUCGGGAUUCUCUAAUGCUGCAGUCACACGUUCUUUAUCCCCAAGUUGUUUAUUGACUGCAUUAUAACAUCAAUUUGAGGAUCAAAUUCAAAACAUUUACUUCCACUGCAACCAAAAAAUAAAAAUGAAAGUUUAUACCUGUCGUCUCUUUAUCAUGACUCCCUGGUGCUACUCUCACAUCAACCUGAGAUUUCAUUACAACAAAAUUAGCUUUAAGAUUACAAAGAAUAUUCUUAAUAAACAAAAAUUGAACACAACACAACAACAAUACCUUGAAUCUAGCAGGUAAGCUUUGCACAAGUUUGACUAAGAUGCAAAGACCAAUAUGGGUUGGCAAGUGACAAUGAGGAAGAGUUGGAGUGAAUGUAAUUCUGUAAAAAGAUAGCACAACUUAAUAGAUUGGAGUAAAGAGAAAAAGCUAUUAAUCACAACAUUUGUUUUUUCUUUUUACCUAACGUAACUCUUGUGAUCAUCAACUUCAACUGAUUCUUCAGUAAGAACAUUGAGAUCUUCCAAAGAAAGUUCAGGAUGCUCUGGAUCUUUGAUAUCUCUUAUACGAUUUGUAGACUGUUAAGGGAAACAAAAAAAAGAAGAUGAUCCAAUAACAAUAUAAACAUAACUACGAGAAAGUCAUUGUCUUAGUAAUGAAUAACAAAAAUUAAGGAUAUCAAAAAUCUCGAGCUGAUCAAUUGGUUCUACUGAAAACUCAUCGGUACUGCUCUGAUCAGUACGAUAACGCCGUGUUCUCUUCGGAUAAAUAAUUGGGUUCUUAUUGGUUAAUACAGAAUCCAUGUUUUUCUCUCCUGAACGCAUAAACCCUAACGAUCAAUUAGUAGAAAACCGAAGAAGCUUAUCGAAUGAGACGUGGGAGACCUCAAUAAACCUAAACCUAAAUAUAAUCUGAGUCAUGAAGUUAAUUAUACAAAUCAUAUAAAGGAAAUAUCGGGAAAUACUUAAACGGCGCCGUACUCUCGGUAAUGUAAUUCUCGUAUCCAAUUUUCGUUUUAAUUGUUUCCUUUUUUAAAAAGGAAUAUUUUCUUUUACAUAUACACUAUGGUUUUCCUAUUCGAAAAGUGAACUAAUAUGGUUAAUAAUAAUACAUGGUGGAUUAGGAAUGAUAAUUCCCUAUAUAAACACUUUAGGUGGUAUUGGCAAAAAAAAAAGAAGAAAACUUGAGGUGAGAUUGGUCGAGAUUUCUGGAUACAUAAAGAAGUUAACAGAAGGAACAAGCGCAAGAAAAGGCCAUCCAUACAACUAUCGCAAGUGUGCACUUCCAUAGCCAUGAAUGGAGAAGAGACGACACCUUUUAAAAGAAGACAGAUGACAAUUCUGAUGCUUCCUAAUGAUUUGCUAUUCAACUGCUUAGCCCGCAUCUCAAGAUUGUAUUAUCCAACUCUCUCGUUAGUCUCCACGAGAUUCCGCUCUCUCCUUGCUUCAACGGAACUUUAUCAAACCCGAACCCACCUGGGCCGCACCGAGAGAUGUCUUUAUGUGUGUUUCCGACUAUUUACCGAAUCUGACCAACUACGUUGGUUCACGCUCUGUCAGGGACCAUUUAACUCCAAAAAAAUUUUGGUUCCGAUUUCAUCUCCUAAUUUUCCAUCUGCAUCCUGGUCGGAUGCUGCAAUAGUCGGUCCUAACAUCUAUGCUAUUGGAGGGUUAGUAAAUAAGAAUUAUUCGUCUAGCGUCAUGGUCAUGGAUUGUUAUUCUCACACAUGGCGUGAGGCACCAAGUAUGCAUGUGGCCCGUUUGUCCCACUCUGUUUGUGUCCAUGAUGGGAAAAUAUAUGUAACAGGAGGUUGCAAAAAUCUUGAUUCAACGAAUUGGAUGGAGGUUUUUGAUACGCAGACCCAAACUUGGGAGUUUUUGCAGAUCCCUAGCGAGGAGAUAUUUGGAGGCUCAAAGUACAGAAGCGUAGAGUAUGAAGGAACUGUCUAUGUAAAGUCUGAGGCAAAGGAUGUGACUUACAAGCUGCAUAAAGGUAGAUGGCGAACAGCAGACAUAGCGAUAAAUAAAGGGUGGUGAUGUCCUUCAUUAUCCCAUUAUUGUGUGAUAGAGAACGUGUUCUACCGUUAUACUGAUAGAAGAAUCGAAUGGUAUGACUCCGAAAAAAGAUUAUGGACAACUUUGAAAGGUGUGGAAAAAUUGCGUAGUUUUUCUCGUGUAAACUUGGUGAAUUAUGGUGGGAAAAUGGCAGUUGUGUCGGUAGAGUAUGUGUUCGGUAAGAAGGAGGCAAAAAUUUGGUGGGCGGAAAUUGCGAUUGAAAAACGUCAAACGGGAGAGAUUUGGGGAAUGCUAGAGUGGCUUGACAUUGUGUUUAGAACCAAUGACAAGUCAUAUAGUUUAGAGCGUGCUCUUGCUACUACCAUUUGAUGGCUAUGAAUCAUGACUCAUAAUUGUGUAAACAUAAUGAAUCAUUCACCAACAUAUAUGAACCAAAGGACAAGUCAAAUUGUGUGUAUAAGAUUAUGUGCAUAUCGUAGAGAUUUAUGAAGCAAUUUAAUAGUAAUAUGACUAGAUUACACAAAAAUAAAGUAAUUGACUUUGUUUGCCUUUGCUAAUCUUUUGUUUUUCUCUUUGAAAUUAUCAGCAUUUCACAAGUUUUCUGAUUUCAACAAAUCUAACUAUCAUAGAAGGUUUCUGGUUAUGAAAUGAAUUAUUAAUUUAGGAAUCGAAUCCUUAUGAUGUUUCUCUUUAUCUCGAGACUUUUAAGUUGAGAACAUAUUGUGUAAUGAAUAGUGAGUCUACUCUUUAACACAAAAGCAUGAGCUUUUAAAUUAUUUGGUUAUUGGAUGUCUCUAGAUGCUGAUACAAACGAACGAACUGUAUUCAAAUACAUUAAAAUUAGUGUUGCUUUUAUGUGCAAUAAAAGAAUUAACUAUUAUUUGGAAAAGAAAAAAAAAUACAUUAACACUACAUGUAUGUGUAGGUAAACCGUAUCCCUACAGCUGAGAGUCUCCGACCGCUGUAGCGUAGGGGAGUCAUCUGCUAAAGUCGUUAAGUGAGCAUGUGUGAACCUACGAAAAAACCACUAGUACAUGGAGAAAAUCAAGAGCGUUGACUCUCGCAUAGUCAAUGUCCUGUAAAAUAUUAUGAAUCAUGGAUCUCCAACUCUGAUACACUAAAAUGAAUUGUGUCUUCGCGGCACCGUGCUUAGCGUUUAUAGAUCCGUAAGCUAAAGAAAAAAUAUAAUUUAUGGUAAUGAAAUAAAUUUUCAAUAAUAACUUAUAGUUAUAAUAUAAAAAUGUAGUUUAAUAUUUGAUAAUGUAUUACAAAAAGUUAUGCAAAAUAAUUUAUAAAAUAGUUAGUCACAAAAAUUGUACAAAACUAAAAAAGUCUUAUGUGAUUAACUAUGAUAUGCCUAAUGAUUUGUGCUAGUGCCAUUGUCGCAUGUCGUAAUUUUGUAAUCGGGUCUUUUGUCACCUCUCAUUUUUAAACCGGUAUAAUGCAUGCAUGUUAUUGAAGAAAAAAAAGUUGUAAUAUACAAAAUUUGUUAUUUAAUAUUAAAUUUGUAAUACACAUUUCAAAAGCCGGCUAAAACCGGCGAACCAUCAAAACCCCGGUUCUUCAAGUUUUUAGUCUUUCACCAUUGCUUUUUUGUGUUUUUUUACAGUAAAAUUAGUUUUCUAUCAUUUGCAUUGAUUUAUUUGAUCUAAAUAUUGUGUGAUAGAGAAUGUGUUCUAGAUUGUAAUUGUACAAUGAUCCAAUGGUAUGACUCCGAAAAGAGUUUAUGGACAACUUUGAAAAGUUUGGAAAAAUGGCCUAGUUUUUUUUUAUGUAAACUUGGUGAAUUAUGGUGGGAAAAUGACAGUUGUAUUGGUGGAGCAUAUGUUCGGUAAGAAGGUCACAAAAGUACAGUGUGCGAAAAUUGCGAUUGAAAAACGCCAAAAGAGAGAGAUUUGGGGAAUGGUAGAGUGGUUUGACAUUUGUGUUUACAACCAAUGGAGUCGUGCAUGCUCUUGCUACUACCAUUUGAAGGAUUCAUUCACCAACGUAAGGAAUAAAUCACUUUGUUUUUACUUUUUUUUAAAAAAAAUUAUUCAUUAAUUUUUGUCAUAUUUGAAAUUCUAGAAUUAAUCCAUAAAAUUUUCGAACUCAUUAACCAAGCCAAAUAAAUCCAUAAAAAAUUAAUUCUUCAAAAUUUAGAAACAAUGGAGGACCAAUGAAGAAAACCCAACGAACAAAGAGAUUUAAAACUAUAAUAUUAUUAUCAUUCCACUGGAAGUACAAACUCAUCACAUGGCAGAGUUGCUAGACAUCUAAAAGAUAUGAUCAAAACAAACACAAAAGACAAUGAUCGGCUAAAAGAUAAGCUGAAGCCAUUAUUACACAUAAACCAAACCUAAAAACACCAUCCUAUAUAUGGUUUACUUAUUGAAUAACUUAAUUAAUUAAAGAGACUCGAUUAUCUCUGCUUAUUUAAAAAGGCUUCUUCACUUGCAG